UAAUUUAGUCUUUGUUUUGCUUAUUUAGUGAAAAAUACACUAUAAUUAAAGGGAUCGAACCCAAUAGCCUAAUUCUCUAACUUCGCCACUGUGAGCUCCAGCUCCGCCGCACAUUCAUAAAUGGUUGGAAUUUAUACACAUUACUUACAAACAAAUUACUGUACAAUUAGUGUUUUUAAAGUCCACACAUUCAUAUGUUACAUGCGUGGUAAUGGUAUUACAUAUACCCGACCGUCUCUACCACUGGAGGCUGAUCUAGAAGGUGUCCACAAAUUGCAUAACACUAUUAUGCCUUUUGUGCUUGCAGAACUCUGCGAUAGUACUCUCCAAGAGCCCAGAUCGGAAAGAUGUUCCUGAACUGGGCGUAAGUGAGCAUGAGGUUGUGGUUGGUAGCUCCGAUUAUGUCCUGUCAUGUGAGGAAACGUACAAAUUGUAAGUUACUCGGCAGGUAUUGUUUACCCUCUUACAAGUAUCCCUUGCAUUGGGAAUGUAAUUUUGGGGAUAGACUAUGACUCACUUGCUGAGGGAACUCUCCAUCCUCCAUUUGGAAGUUGAUCAGAACCUUGGCUGCUCUAUGCAGACAUGCAGGAUCUCUUUUACCCUGUUCACUCGGAAGCAAAAAUAUUGUGAAUGGCGUUUUGUGCACCUAACUAGACUACUGUGCAAAAUAUAAAUAUUAUAUUUACUGCCAUACUACUACAAUUCACACAAGGUGAAAUAAUAUAUGAAAUGCACGAUAUAUAAUUAAAAUCGUGAAAGAAAUUGACCUGUCCAGCAUCAAUCAGGGCUAACAUGGCCCAACUGGUGUUAACUGCAUGAGCCUUGUUGCCUUCAAGAUUGGUGUAAACCUAUGUAUGUUGGAUGUCCAAUCCAAAUCAAUUAAGCACAAAUCCACAAUAGUAGUUAAUUACACCAAGUCAUGAGAAAAAAAGAGGAAAAAAAUCUACCUUAUCUUGGCUGGAGAGGUAGCUUUCCCCCCAUCCUCCUGAUGGGAGCUCCUUGGACAGCAAAAAUUCGCAUGCCUUUCUGAUUGAUUGGCUAUUCUCGUAAGUCCUACCAGCAGCAAUCAAUCCACUCACCCCAAACCAUGUACCAUAGGUGAAACAAAUAGCCCAACAGCCGUACCUGUAGUUGCAAAUUGAGAACAGAGAUUCAAAUGUGGAACAUAUUCUAAUUAAACAAGUCGAAUAGGAUUCAGUUCCAUUUUGGGCGCUAACCAUGAUCCAUCGGCCCGCUGGAUGCUCUCAGUGUAAUCUGCAGCCUUUCGGAUACAUUUGUCUAUCUCUUCCCUGCGAUAAUGUGUAGGGUAUGUUUCUUUGAAUAACACCAGCCCCUGAAUUACUGAUGAUGUACACUCAACAUACCUGUCAAUCAGGAUUCAGGAUACAUACGUAGUUGUCAGCACUUAAGAAAAUGUACUCCCUCUGACCCAUAUUACUUGUCUCAAAUUUGUCAAAAUAUGAAAGUAUCUAUGUUUAAAAAGCGUCUAGAUACAUGUAAUAUUUCGACAAGUAAUAUGGGUCGGAGGGAGUAGAUAACUUUUCAGAGAAAAUUUAGGAGCAUAGAUAAAAGAGGUAUCGAUAGAAGGUUCGUGUUUCUUACGGAUACUCGAUCAUUAUUCCCCCAAAGCUUUCAGAAGGAUUGAGCAACUGAAAUGUUUACAAAAAUAUUGUGCACAUCAGCACUUAUGAAACUUAUAAUCGGUUUGUUAGAUUCAAGAGUUGUUAUGCAUCAAAUUAACAUGACAGUUUCAGUGAAGUGUUUCCUCCCCAUAUACAAUUGAAACCAAGGAACCUAUCAAAACUCACCUCAAGCCACUCAUAAGAUCUUGUCAGCUCAUAUGCACCAAAACUACCAUCGUCAUUCUGCAAAGGAGUAAUGAGUAAUUCCUUAUGUGCCUAUGAUGUUCUUCAUCCUAGCAUGCGAACAAAACUACUACUCCCUCCGAUCCAUAAAAAGUGUUGCCCACUUUGUAUAAAAUUUGUUCUAACUUAGUACAAAAUGGGAGACACUUUUUAUGGAUCGGAGGGAGUAUUAUGUAAUGAGUAACAAUUAAGUUUGAAACUGACCAUCACACAAAAAAAAUCGACUACAAAAAUAAGUUAAACUGGAAGAUGGUUACCAUCAGUGAUAACAGAAGGUUGACAGUAUCAUCAAGCCUGCUGGAUUCCAUUGGCUCACCAAUCAAUUCAGGAGGAACCUUAGUUAACAGCAACAGAACCUGAAGAAAGUAGCGGAAGCAUUAUCUCAAAACCACUGGAUCAAGACCUAAGUUAUGCCGGAAUAGUUUUUCAUGGUGAUGACCAUUUGACCAUUACACACACAAUAUUCUGAAGUAAAAACCCUCAGAUAGUAUUAAUCAGUUUUUAAGGCAGAAAUGGUUCAUCCCUUCAGGGGCCAACUUCAGUGAUUACCUCGGUAGAAUCCAUUUUUUAAACAAUGAUCUACCUAUAUUGAUUGAUUAAAGAAAGUGUAACCGACCGGGAUAAAUGAAUGGACAAAAGAAACGAAGAUCAAUGUUAAACUUAAAGCUUCGUCAAAGCUCUUUGAAAUCACCAUAUCUAGGUUCUAAAAAGAUGUAUGACCUUCCAUUUAUUUGGUGACAAAGUGCAGAAUAAGAUCUCUACACAAAUUGAACUAACCUUGUAGGUUCUAAAACGAUGUAUGAACUACUAAUCUAAAUAAGCUGAGAUCCAAGAUUUCUAAAUGCACCAUGAUCGGGAAUACAUCCCUCACAGGUUGCAAAAUCAUUGCUCGAGUAGGCCAUGACACCCAAACCAAAAUGAGGAUGGAGUCAAGACACCUUUUUCAUAUGGCACACUGUCUCCAUCACCAAGAUGCUGCCACCAAAGAGAAACAACUAACAAAGAAUGUGUGGAAACUAAACCCAAUGUUGAUAUGUGGUUUUCUCUGGUUCUAGACGGCUAGACGCCAAAUCAUCCGUCAAAGCGCAGGGGCACCAGCGGAAGCUGAAAUUGUUGACGAUCACCAAAUGGCGAUAGCAAGUUUUUUUCUUGGAUUCCUACCAUAAAUACUGUUUUUAUAGGAAAACCUAAAAUUUUGGUAAAUUCCGUUACCAGGCACGCAUCUGAUGCAUACGGCCCAAGUGUGACUCUGGCGUGCAUAAGUCCAGAAAACCUAUAGAAUUUAGAUAGAAUCUGUCCUGUAUAUAGCAAGUAAUCCUUUUAAACGACGGGAUAGCGAAAGAGUAAUGUCACAUGCACAAAGCAAGAUAAUUUUAGAUGUUGACAUUUUACUAUUUUGCCAAAAUAAUUUUUUAGGACUCUACCUUCAAUGCUUCUGCAGUACAAUCUGAUACAGGCCACCUAUGGUCAGCAGUUGAGUGCGUCCAACCACCUUUGGAUAUAUGGCGAUGCCACUUGCUUUGGUCCCCAGGACAGUCAACACGAAUCUUUACAACAGUCAGAUAGAGAGUAUUACUACACUGUGCCUCAUUGAUCUGUGCUGCACGAGUAACUUAUCAUGUAGUGGUACCUGGGAACGUUUUAUGUAGUCAUGGGCGAGUUUAAUUGUGGGGCCAAACACUUUUGUGAGGCCGGUAGCAAAAAUAGCCUGGACCGUUAAAGCCGUAUCCCACAACUGGCUGCCAUUGUAUGACUACAAAAGGAUGGCAAUUAAUAAUGUCUAAACUUUGCCUAAACAUGUGACAGUUAAUUUGGAAUCGAAGGGAGUAGUAAACAAAGAUAUAUCUUAGAUAGAGACUUGUUCCAUUACUAUUGCAUAUAUCGACCCCAGUUAAAAGCUAACAAAAUGCAUAAGAACUAGUUGAAACCUUCAUCUUCAUGCCGUCUUCAGCAACCCAUAAGAAAUCGUAGACUCUUUGAAUAUGGAGCUUGAAUGCCUCUGAGUUAGGAUCUUCUACCCAGCGACAAAUCAUAUUCAACAUCUGCUUAUAUAUAAUAUUUGUAGUAAUCAGUUGUAGUUGGAAAAAAUAUACAAAAUGAACAAAUAAAUUAACUAAGCCCAUUACUUAGCUUGCAAGGAGCAAGUCUAAGGACGUAAGAAAACAAAAUAUUGAUAUUUACUACUCCCUCUGUUUCUUAAUGUACAUUUGGUAUUGUCCUAAAUCAAACUUUCUCAACUUGGACCGAGUUUGUAGAAAAAUAUAACAACAUAUGUAAUACCAAACAAAUACAAUACGGAAAUAUAUUUGAUAAUAGUCCUAACAAUACUAAUUUGGUGUUGCAUAUAUUUGUGGUUUUUCUACAAAUUUUAUCAGUAUUGACAAGCUUUGACUUAGGAUAAACCCAAAUGUAAGACAUUUAAAAGGGAGAGUACCUUGUUCAGAGCAGCAAUGCAGAUAUAUUGAGUUGUUUCAUCCUCGUAACGGAUAUGUUCCAUGACAACGUCGAGAGCUCUCUUCCGCAAUUUGUUGCCAGGCCAGUGCAUCAGGAGUGGUUCACCAACUUUCUUCAGAGUAGCCCAUACCACAUCCUGCAGCGGUGAACGAGGAUAAUAGAGAUCUUCCUACAAAACCAAUUAACAAGUGUUAGUAUCUUAUUAAUACUACUGCCUCCGAUCCAUAAGAAGUGUUGCAGAUUUAGUACAACUUUAUACUAAAUCAGCGACACUUAUUGUGGAUCAGAAGGAGUAGAUAUUAAAGGUCGAGGGAAAGCAAAUGAAACCUUUGCACAGCCAUUGCGAGCCUUGUCCCAAUCAAUCUCAUCGUAUGGGACGCUGUAAAGCUCUUUCCUCAAGUCUAGCACAACUGAUGAUGUAGUAGCUCCCACGAACCUCUUCCCAUAUAGGUACGACAUGGGCAAAUAUACCAGGCGGCAAUGACACCACAUGCGCCCUGUGUUAUGUGCAAUGGAAUAAUUGCUAAAUCGAUAAAAGUCAAGAAGUAUGUAUACUUUUUCUGGUACUCCAUGUAUUAUUUUGAAUAAAUUGCAUAGAAACCCAUCUAUAGCGGAUGCCCACGAGUCGAACACUAAUGAGUAACAAAUGACCUCUAAAUGGCUGAUUUGUCGAUGCUAAUGACUCGGGUCAAUGCGUCAUACACAGUAGCCGUUUUUGUUGAGCUUUUCUCCGGUACCCUAGAAUAUUUGAACCGUCCGUUUACUUUGAUCUAAAGGUGCAGAUUACUUGAUACUCCCAACUACUCCGGCUUAGAGGAAUGGAGUAUUAUCUCAGAAAAAAGGGAGUAGCCAACCGGCAAGGGUAUAAACAUAAGAAAAACCGUCAGUUUCAUCCUGUCUCCUUUGGCCGGAGUACUCAGAGAAAGGUUCCGACGGCGGCGGUGGCGCGCGCUGGGUGGCCGACGGCGGCGGCGGCGGGUCCGUCUGGAAGGGCUAGGAGGCCACUGGCGGCGGCGCGGCAGGAAGGCUGGCGGAGGCACGCUGGGAGGCGGGCGGCGGCGGCGCGGGCUGGAAGGCCGGCGGGUGCGCGCAGGAAGUCGGGCGGCGGAUUCGUGCGGGGACGACGGCGGCGGCGGCCCGGGCUGGAAGGCCGGCGGAGGCGUGCUUGGAGACUGGUGGCGGCUUGGCUUGGGAGGCCGCCGGCGGCAGCGCGGGAUGGGAGGCAAGCGGCGGCUUGGCGCUGGGAUGGGGAGAGAGAGAGAGAAAAACAGAAUUCUGAUUUUUUUUAAUUUUGUUACUAAUGUGAAAAGUCAAAAAUGCCCUUCUAUCAUACUCCGUUUGGCCUCAGUGGAGGAUUGGGUAUUGUAGAACCUGCCGUUUUUGUUGACUCAUAUCUCUGUACCAUCAGCUUGAGCCGCGUCUCCAUGUGAGCCUACCCGGUUUUUUUGGGGAAGCAAAACGAGAUCGUCUCUGCCCAUGCCGGCGCCGCCCCAGCCACCGCCGCCUCCGCGGGUUGCCCCGGCCGCCGCCACUGCGGGCUGCCCCCGCCGCCUCCGUGGGCGCACACCGCCCCCUGCCUCGGGUUGCAGCAGCCGCGCGCCGCCGCUGGUGCCGUAGCCCCCGCCGCCGCCUGGCCUGGCCACCUCCGCGAGCGCGCGCCGCCCUAACCGCCGCUCCGGCCGCGGGCUGCCCCUGUCGCCUCCGCGGGUUCAUCCCCCGCCGCCGCCUGGCCCAGACACCUCCGAGAGCGCGCGCCGCCCUAGCCGCCUUCACGGCUGCGCAGUAUGCAGGGCAGGGGAGCUAGUCUAUCUACGCCGCCGCCGGUGACGAGGACGAGAUGCCCGUUGCGUCACUCCUGAUCGGAUUUCGGAACCCCAACGACCUCCUGCUCACGGCCACCGCGUCGGACCAUCCCUCUGGGUUGUGCGGAUUGGUUGGCUAGGAAGGGAAUAAAAUUGAUCGGCUCAGCUCCCAGCUCGGCUAAAGCCGAUGGGUUAGAAGAAUAGAUCCGAAAAGUAGAUCCCUGAGUAUGACAUGUGGGACCGAAUCAUUAACCCCAUGGGCCUUUUGUUUGGCUCACGACAAAGAGCCCACUUCGUAGCUUCUGACGGCAAUGGCAAAUAGGCUCUUUGCAGUGGGUUUUUUUGGAUUUUUUUCAGCUGUCGUCAAAGGAAAGGAGAAGACGGCUGGCCACGUGGCAGGCGGCUUUGACAAAACAUCUAUGCAUACAUACAAUAUGAAAAAUUGCAGUUGAUGGUGAUGGUACGGUCGCUGCCGUACGUCCCUGCCCUUGCCCAACUCCUGCACAAUUUUUUUUCUUCGCACGGGUUAUUGUUUGGAUUCCGAACCGUUUUUUCCUUCUCGCUCCGCCGCCAGCCUCGCGUCUCCUCUCCACGCCACCACUGCCGCUGUCACCCAUCGUAGCCUUCCCUGCCGCACACCGCGCUCUCCCUCCCUAGCCGUGGAUGCCGCCCUCUCCUUCCCCUGCGCGCGCUGCCACAGCCCUCCUCCCCUCCGCUCGCCGACCCCGAGGCCCAGCCCAUCAAUCUUUCUCUAUCUUGCUACCUCUCCUCCGAUUUCUUCUGCCCCCGAACCCCGACCUCGCUGCGAGAGCCAUGGCCCGACCGACCAUUUGUCCUAGGGGACCGGCUCCAAGGUCGUGCCGUCGUGGGCCGUCCCAGAUGACCCCACCGCCUCCCUCCCUGCGAACAACGCCAGCCACCGUGGACCACCCCGCAUAGGACGCCGCCGCCGCUGCCUUGUCGUCGUGCGCCGCCGUCCGUCGCAGCUGCUUCGUGCUCGUGCACCGUCACGGUCACCCCCGCCGCCAUCCGUCGUUCCAAAGAAAAGCGAGAGACUAAAACUGUCUGUCUUACAAAUCGGAACCAAAAAGAACACAUCCUGCCGCGGAUGCGUGUGGCGGCGAGGUGCAGGGAGCCAGCGGCGGUCGGUCAACCACAGUGGGACGCGAGCGUGGUUCGCGUUGGGGCGGCACGCGGGCGAUAGCGGCACCGUUGGUGCAACCGGUAGUGCAGGCGGGAGGGUGAGCGUGGUUCCCGGUGGCGCAAAGGCGAUUUGGGGCUUUCCAGGGCGGCCGACAGUGGCUGUGUCGGGGCAAUUGGAGGCUGCAUCGCUGGUCAGCUGCGAGGGGCGACUUUUCUCUCAAACGAGGAGACAAGGAGUGCCGUUCUAAUGAGAAAGGAUAGGCAUCAAAUAACGCUAGGGAUAAACACGCAAGUCCUACUGAAUUACCAUAUCUAAUUAUUUUGUAUUGCAUUACCCAAUGCUCCAGUUGUGGGAAGAAACAUAAUGCAUUUACAGGUUUUUUAACUUUAACAACAAGGUAGUUAGUUUUCAUGAACAUUGUUGAAACAAACUUUUUGCAAUUAUGAUAUGGACAUACUAACCAUGGAUACGACCAUUAGAUACACUCUUGGGCCGAAGCCUACCUCUGGCCCAUCUCUUGGCUGAUCAGCCCAGUCGGCUGCCCCAGCCCAGCAAGCGACCCAGUCAGACUCGGUCGUCUUCCACCUCGCGCACGACCCCUACCAAGAACGCACGCACGUACGUCGGCCGCCGGUUGAUCCCCUCGACCCAACCGUUUAUCUUCGAUCCGAGACCAAAUAUUUGAUCCCAUCUCCCCGAGAACCGAUUCAGUCAAAAGUUGAACCUUUUCCCUCCAUCGCGUCACAAAACUCACGCGCCCCGAAUGCCAACUGACAACAUCCACGUCCCAGUCUCCCUCCUCGGAUUAUAUAAGACAAUCCCUAGCGCGUCAUCUUGUGUCCAGACCAAUCCUCCCUCGUUGUCGUAUUGAAAGUUUCCCUUAUGAACCCCUGUAGAGCCCGUAUCCUCGAUGUCUCUGUCCGCCAUCCACCACCGCCAUUGUUGACGAUCUUGCGAUCAAUGGAAGCCAUUGGCCGCGUCGUCCUCGGAGCAGUGCCGCCGCCCAACUCCAACCAUCGGAUAUAACAGUUAAUAUAUGUGUGGUCCAAUUGAAACAGUCGGCCAUGUAAACAACUGUCGGCUAUUAUUAAAAUUACCGACGGGCUGUCGGCCAUCUGAAACUACUGUCGGCUUAUCUUAGAUUUCUAGUAGUGGCUGCAGCACGCCCAGAAGACCAACGUCGACUCCUUUGAGUUCGCAGUGACGUCCUCGAUCACGUACACGACGGCAUCGGCGUUGGAGCACGCCGGAGGACCCCGACGACGACGACCGAGGUUGCCAUCGCCGUAGCCACGACGCGCCGCCGCUUGGAGCCACCCCGGAGCAAGACGCCGCCGCCAUUCUUCUUCCCGCGAAGCCGUGAACCUCGUCCACCCCCCAGAGCCUCUCUUCUUCGAUUCCGUUCAUCUCCAGUGAGAUACGAGGUAUGAACUUGUUCAUCUUCCCUCUGCACCGUAAGUUGUUCGAUUAGCCCUCUUUAGGCAUCGACUGUUAGCAAACCGCUGAUCAUGUUGUGCUCUAGGUUUCACCAUUGUGUAUAGUGUAUGUUGCUCUGUGAUUGUUCUUUAGUGCGUAGCCAUAGAUGGUUCAUCUUCAGCACUGCAUCGUCGUUGCAAAACUGUAUUCUUAGCAGCCUCUCUGCCGCGGCAGGAAGUUGCCACAUCUUUUCUUACCGAGUAGCCUAGUUCACAGUAGUUCUUCCUGUUGUCUGCAGCAUUAUUUUGGUUUAUUCUUGCUGUAGUUGGAACCUUAGGUACUCGCCUACACAGUAGUUCCCUAAUUGGGUCGUUUCAAAUUCAUCUUCACUAGUAGCAUGACAGUAGAAGUUUGUAUCCUGUACUGUUCUGUUUUAGAGCAGCCACAUACAUCUGUUCAUAGCUAUUGGCUCAUAUCUCCAAUGUUUGUGUAACUAGCGUCAUUUUGAAGAAUAGAUUAUAUUCUUGGAUUCAUAGUUGUAGUUCUCUGUCUUUCGAAUAGUUUAGCACCAGUAGCUUUUCAGUAGAAGCUAGUAUCUAUUAUCUGUCAGAAUCGGACUAGUCACCUUUGCAAGCCAGUAACUUUCGAUCUGUAGAUCCAAUUGGGCACAAAACCAGUUGCGUUAGUACAAUCUUAGUACUGUCCAGUAGCAUACUUUUCAUUCCAUGUUCUGUACUUUAGCACCUAUUACCUGUCAACCUUAGUUGCAACCUGUUAACUGUAGCAGAUUACUGAAUUUCAGACUUAGCCACUCUAGGCUUGGCUAUAGGUUUUAGAACCAUGUUUGUUGGUACUCUAGUAUUAUUUGUAUGAAGUUUGGGUUCUGUUCUUGAAUGUUUGGGAAUACAUUUUGUUAUUCGAAGUUCAUUUGGAGUUAUAGUUGGAUUUUGAUUUAUGCUUGGAGCUAUACAUUUAUUUUGUUUCAUUCUUCGUGUUAGAUUAUUCGGAUUGUGAGUGCGACGAGUGCCAGCGAGUUGACGACCACAGCCACUUUUCUGAUCCAGGCAAGUUACACUUAUUGAUCAUGUAGUACCUAUAUUUUUGCUUAUGCUAUUUUGUUUACAAUGUCAUAGGGAUGCAUGUUAGAGUUAUUUCUUUAUGAAGUAUUUAUCACAUGCGUUUUCAACAUGUUUUAGUUAUUCCUAGUAGAUUGCUUAUAGGACUUUAUUACCAUGCCACCAAAUACCAUAGGUGAUGUAUUUACAUUUUCCAAAACAUGCUAUACUAUUAUAACGGGACGGGACGCAAACUAUAUUGAAAAGUAUUAAGUGCUCUUUAUGAGCGAGUAUGUUUUUGGAAAAAUGUUUUUGAAAUAAAACCAAAAUGUUUUAUCUGGACAGAGUGGUAUGAUGGAGGCCAGUUGGCUGUCGGCAAGUGUUGUAACCCCGUAACGGGUACACACUCAGGAGAAGGUGGGGAUCGCCAUCGAGAAAUCCAAGAGUUCAAAUCUUCUCAUGUACCCAAAGGCUUCUUGUGCAACCACUUGCUAUUAUGGGCUCUGACUUGGUUUACUAACUAGCGGGAAACCCUGAUAUGGACAUGAUCACCAUGGAUACGACCAUUAGAACCCUAAUUGUUGGUGUAUCUAAUAACGAUUAUAAUCAGGUGAAUUCAAUUACUAAAUGUUUUCUAUAUGUUACUUGCAAAGAGGCGGAGCUUCUAUCUUAUGCAAUCUUAUUAUGUAGGCAUCUUAUUAAACUUUACAAGUCCAAAGUGAAUAUGAAGUGUGAUAGCCUGCAAAGAGAGAUUCAAAAUGAAGCCUAUCAAGUCUACUUUCUAACAAAUCAAACGGCACAUGAAACUUGCUAGAGAAAGAUAUCACGAAGUAAAGUUGAAUCCGAUUCGGGUCCGACCUGUCAGGAGACUCGAAUUUGUUUUAAUCACCCAGGCCGCAUCCGGAGUCCAAAUCAAGCAAACAAUUACUUGUUGGAAAUACAAUUACAAUACCUUUCCAACGGAUCCGGCCCAACAAGUAGAUUCGACGCGUGCUGACCGUGGCGGAGAAAACAAGCUGACGGAUCUGUUUUUCUGUUUCCUAAAGAGUUGUAGUUUGUUAGGAAAGUUAGAGAUAGAGUUGGAUUUCGGCCUCCUUACUCAAGGUGGACGAAAAUAUCUCUUCCUCCUCCUUUAUAUACCCCAUGAGCCCCCCUAAGGUGCCUUGGGUUUUGUUUAGUUAAAAGUUAGCCAUCGCUACUACUUCGUGUAAUCGCGUGUGUCGGUUAGACCACUUGUUUUACCGUUUUCGGAACCCCAACUUAUCAUCUCGUUGAGACAUAGGUUUGAUAUAGUAUAUUCGCAAUUUCAGAUUGCAUCCGCUAUUUAUCUCGUUCUUGCUUGUUCUUCGAUUGCUUGCAGGAACAAAGACCUUCGUGGUCAGGUUGAUCGUGCCCCCGCGUGAUCAAUAACCCUCUGGAGUUGGUGUAUCGAUUGCUAAGGCGCUGCCUCCUAGGCCGUAGUUGGAUCGUCAGCGUCACCUCCUACCCAAAUCGAGAGUUAUCAAUCUCAUCGAAAGAUCGGCCUACCCACACCCAUAUCAAAUUAGGUCUUUCAAAUAUGAGAGAUUAAAAAAGAAGUUGGUGUUUCUUGCACCAGAUUCAGUUCUAAAAUUUGCUUAACAUACCAUCCACCCUCAUACAUCGUAAACCUGUUUUCAUGGCGUUGUAAUAAUUUAUUUAUUUUUUGUAUUCACAUUUUAUUUUCCGUAGCAACGCACGGGGAUCUCGACUAGUUUAAGUAACAGAGAGGUAACGGUGAGACACGUGACCAUGGCUUUACCGUGGGCUAGCGGAGAGUUGCGGAGAGCAAAACAACGGCGUCAAGUCCCUCCCCUGUUGCCGCCACCAACGCGCCUUAAACCCGUUCCAAUCGCUGCCGCCGCUGAACAUGAACCAGCAGUAGCUUCGCAACGACCCGCCGUACUCAAUCCCGGUGCCUCAUUGUCGGCCUCGGCGAGGAGGCCAUCGAGCACGACGUGUCAGACGCCCUCGUGGAAGUCCACCCUGUGUGCGACGCUGGCCUUAUCAACCACUGGUCGUCCCAGCUCGCAGUACUCACGGUUCACCUCGAUGGCCACCACCUCUUGCCGUGGGCCAGGAGGGCAAGCGCGGUGCAAAGCUGUGAGUAGCCGGUGAAGAUGCCGACCUCGACGGCCUUCUCCACGUUCAUCAUCUUGAGCAGCAUAGAGAAGAACCGCAUCUGGUCCACGCGCUCGUGCUCCCGUGGGUACACAGUCGUCUCCACGAUUUAAGUCUAUAGACGUCGCGUGACCGCCAGCUGUCUCCUCCUGCGCCCUCGUCCGAGCGUGCGGCCUCCGCAUCCGGAACCAUGAGGUGCAGAGACAACAGCCGCCACGGAGGAGGGGAUCGUGAAGCGCCAUAGCAGAGACGCGGGGAGGCGGCGAGAUCGAGGGAGAGUUGGAGAGGGAAGAGACAGAGAGCUACGUGACAAAGACACACAGAGGAGAGAGAGAUAGGGGAGAAGACGACAACAUCUUUGCGGCAGACGAUGACAGAGGUGAAACCCAAGUAAAACAAUUCCUCUAAACAAUUGUGUGGUUUACAUGAUAAUUUUAACCAAGAGAGAAACGGAGAAAAGGACAAAACAUCAAAACUGAAACUUUGCCGCAGUCUUGGCUUCUGGCAUAGAAUUUACCAUAGGUCUGGCCUCCGGCAAAGAGGGGGCACCGUCAACCUGCCGUCUCGUGCCGCGGUCGAGGCCACGUGGCCACGCUUUCUGAAGUGAGCUUUUCUUUGUUGUGGGCCUUCCUAUAAUUUUGCCGGGAGCUUUUCUAUGCCGCGGGCAUUUUUGUGAAUUAUUGUGUGUCAUGGCUUUGCCAUUGUCGGGGAUGACUCCGGGUAGAGUCAUGACGACACAUAUUAGCCGAGAUAACGAGAGCAAAGCCGGCAUUCUUAAGCCGAAUUAAUAACAGGCCGGCAUACCAAGGGUAUGCCGGCAUAUCUAUCUUGUCUUAUGUGAUUGCAGGAUAAGCAUAAGUAAUCUGAUCUCGGUCAAUGCCGAGAUGCGUCAACGGUCUUAUCCUGAGCACAUGGCGUAAAGUAAAGCAGCGCCCCCUUUAUGACGGAAAAGCAGUCGCCGCUCACGUCGCGGUGCCAGGCGACUGCACAAUGACGCGCCGAAGAAGGACCGAUGACGAAGGCCGGGGCGUGGCUACAGUGCGCACCGCCUGGCGCUACGAAAAGUAAAGCUGCUUUGUCCCCCGCCGUGCAACCCGGAGGGAACCGUGGGGCGUACCCGGCAGGCCCCGUAGAAGAUAGGGUUUGCUUUUGGUCCACGUGUCAGUGUGACAUCGGCGGCCUAUAAAUAGAAGCACCACCCCUCCUAGGAGAGGGGCUCCUCACUUAGUCAUCUAGGGUUUUCCCCUUCUUCUUCUUCCUCCUCAAGAAACAGCUCAAGGAGCACCAUUGUAGCCCUCGGUAUCUCGGGUAAUACAACAAAGCAGGAGUAAGAGUUUUACCUCAUCUAGAGGGCUCCGAACCUGGGUAAAAUAGUGUGUGUUCUUGUGUUGUGCGUUGUUCUAAUCACUUCCUCCCUCUUCCGGUUUCUCCUUCAUCCAUCGGUUUCAUCGUAAGCCAUCAUAUGGCAUCUGCCGUGAUACCAGCACGAUAGCCAUCUAUUUUUUGGCUCUAGGGUAAACCAGCUUUGCCAUGGCCCCGAAAGAAAGUCUCCGGCAAAGCCCUCGGGGAGACGGCAAAUUCUGUUUUUCCGGUAGCGACUACUUUUCAUAUUUAUAAACUGUGAAAGCAUGAAGUAAGUCUAAAGAUAUUUUUUUUUUGGCUAACUUAGUUCUGCUAGAGCCAAUCUAGCUAAACAGCUUAGCUCAUUUAAGAGUUUUUUUAUGUUAAAACAUCAUAACUACUGGAUCUGUACUAAUAGAAAAUGUUGUAAUGCCAUCUUAGUAUUUGAAUAAUGAAUAAUUAAGCUACGAACAUGAAGAGAACUUUAAAAUAGGAACCCAAACCUGGAUGAAUAGGCAAGAAAUAAGGCAUCAUCCAUAUUUCUGGUGGCAAUGGGUUGUUACCAGACCAUUCAUAUACCCCAAGUACCUAGAGCAAGAAAUUAGAGACACUGUCACUAUGAGUCUAGGCUGGAAAUGAAUGCAUAUGCACAAGCAAAUAUAAAAGGAUGUACGUGAUCAUUCCGAUUGUGCUCCCUACCGAAAGGAAGAAUUUCCCCCAAGAUGGUGUUAAAGUUGCCCCCCCAUGGUCCAAGAUCCAACUCCGAGCUUGCAGCAUCGGUCCACAUGAGUCGAGCCCUUCCCCAAGUAAUCUCAAAGCGACGUAGUUCAUGACAGAACAGAACAUUGUACUUCUUCCCUCAAUGUGCAGUCCCCAGCCCCCAUCUUCAUUCUACAGUCAGUUAGUGAUCAUAUUCAUAUCAGCGAACACAUGCCAUCAAUUGUAAUUUGGCGCACAUUCAUCUGCUUGCCUGAUGAUUGUAGAGAUAUCUCCGAAUCUCCUUCUGAUGUUCAGACGACAAUACAGUAUUGAGUGAUUCAGUCACAUGCAAUGCUACGAUCUGAGAAAACAGUAGGUAAGAAUCAGAAUAGAAAAAUAAAAUAUUUAAAGUAAGGUUUAGUCAAAUCUGGAUUGCAUGCAUGCGUGACGAAAUGGUCAAACACGUUUAGGCUUGGAUAUAUAAAGCAAGUUGUAAUCCCUUUGUUUUCCUUCGUACAGUUUUAAAACUCUCUCCGAUCCAUAAUAAGUUGUACUAAAUCUGAGACAUUUGUUAUGGAUGGAAGGGUGUACUUUCUUGUAAUAUAUAAGUAGAAUUCACCUCCUUAAAGAAAGUUUAAAAAAGAAUAUGUUUUGUUCAACACGCAAGAGGAAGUACCAAGCUAGGUAAGAGAAACAGAGUUCCGGCGUAAUCUCCCGGCCAGUGCCCAUCAUGUGCCUGGAGAGUGGAAUAGCGGCCGAUUGCCCUCUUCAAAGAUAUCAAGACAUCCUCUUCCGUGGCGAAUGCAUGCUCAUCCAGCUUGAUGGCAGGAAGGUUCAUCUUGAGACGGUUUGACUUGGAGAACUGCAGGACACAAAAUGUCAGAAAUGGCUUGCAGGGUGGUGUAGUCACUGAGAACAUACGAAAUGAAAUGCAACCAAUUUUUGCUCAUCUUUCAGAACAAAUUUUGUUGACAAACACUCAAUAAUAAGAUAUACCGAGCCUUUUCUUGACGGGACCAAUGUGACGGCCAUCUGAAGUUACUUUCCAUGGCCGUGUGACCAUGCUAUCUCCACCAGCAGCGCAUAGGCGCUCGAGGAAGCACGGAGGGAAACUGACCAGGAGGGGAGGAAGAUGUUUUUUUUCUCAUAGAAUACACCGGGCAUGUGUAUCAUUGAUUAAAGAGUAAAUUUCAUAGAACCAUAAUUUUUAGAGCAGUCGUAUUGCUGAACCACACUUAUCGCAAAACCGUUCACAGAACCACACAUUUUGAGCCAGUUUGUCUCAAGUAGCCCGAAACCAGAUGGUUUGGCGGUUUCACGUGAUUCCUUACAGCUGGGGCCCACUUAUCGGAUGCCACGUAAUUGCUUACAAGUGGUGAAAAUUGUGACUGUAGGAAGGAGAAGGGGCCUGAGGGGUUUAAUUGCAGGUUAACGGGUCCGGUCGGGUCGAGUCGAUGUCGACAUGGCAUCUGACAUGUGGGACCCACCUGUAAGUAAACAUGUGAAGCCGCCAAACCACCCGGUUUCGAGCUACCUGAGACAAACAACCUUACAAUGUGUGGUUCUGCGAACGGUUUUGCAAUAAGUAUGGUUCAGCGAUACAAUUGCCCAAAAAACUGUGGUUCUCUGAAAUUUACUCUUGAUUAAAAGAAGGAGUUGCCGCGAUGCGGCUACAAGCCCCUAGAGCGAGUACAAAACAACUACCCGUUAUCUCUCCACUUGCUAGGCAUAGCGGCAGAGCCCUGUCCUCUAAAGAGCCCGGCCCUAGCCCAAGCUCUAGCCUCGGCACCCAUGGAGCCCAACAGUUGUUGUAAAUUCACCACGGCAUGAUCAAAGACUACUUUGUUCAUAAGCUUCCAGGUGGACCAGAAGACAAGCGUCAAAGCCGUCACGAGGUCCCCCUGUGAAGCUUCAUGCGCUAGCCAACGUAACCAAAAGACCGAUCUGAUGGAAAGGGCUAGGCAAUCCACUUAAACACCCCCCCUCACGUCUGAUGGUGAAGUGAAGUCAACACGUGUAAACUUAGAGGUAUAGUGGCUCAAGAGGCCAAUAUAUGGACGGAGGGGAUCUGAUGGAAAGGGCUAGGCAAUCCACUUAAACACCCCCCCUCACGUGUGAUGGUGAAGUGAAGUCAACACGUGUAAACUUAGAGGUAUAGUGGCUCAAGAGGCCAAUAUAUGGACGGAGGGGGUAACAGCAAUUUUUAAUAUAAAUUGUGAAAGCCAGAACUUGAACUUGAGACCUUUGGCUCUGAUACCAUGUGAAGCUUCAUGCGCUAGCCAACGUAACCAAAAGACCGAUCUGAUGGAAAGGGCCAGGCAAUCCACUUAUACACUUCAACACCCCCCGAUCCGUACCGAACAACGGAAUUGAAGAUCGACCACCAUUCCAGGAGGUUAGCAUCACUCUCGAGCAUCCACUCCGUCUUGCUCCAAAAGGAGAGGACCUGCCACCAAACUUGCCGCACCACAGAACAACCCAGGAGCAACUGCGAAAUGUUCUCUUCCUCUUGAUCACAUAGGGGGAACCGCGCAGGAUGGUCACGGUCUCAACGCGCCAAUUGACCCGCCGUCCAGCAUCGGCCUGGACAAGCAAGCCAGACAAAGAAUUGACAUUUGCUAGGCGCUCUAGAGCCCCAAAUAAGAUGGAAGCCAUGUCGUUCUAUGCGCCCCUCGAAAAGAGCCAGAUAGGCCGAUCGCUCCGAAAACUGACCUGAGGUCGUCCACUUCCAACGGAAGACAUCAUCACCCUCACCAAGUUCCACGUCGGCAAGUCUGUCCCAAAGAGAAAGGAAUUGAUGAAGGCCCUCGCUGAGGUUAGGAUUCACCUCCCGGGUCCAAGACUUAUACAGACAACCCAUCGCCACAAAGAGGCCACUAUCCACGGCUGGCAUAAUAUCAGGUGCAAGAUCCUUGAUCCGCAGCCCAUCAAGCCAUGGAUCGGUCCAGAACCUCGCACCAGUACCAUCACCCAGAGUAACCCUAGAAGCGGCUUCAAAAAGCGCAACGGACUCGGCCGGAAGAGAAAUUCCCAAGGUGUGCCAGGAAUGCCAUGGUUCCGUCCUUUCAAGCCAACACUAUCUGGUGCGAAGGGCCACAUUAAGCAAGUGGAGAUUGGGAAUGCCCAGACCGCCGACUCGCUUCGGCGCCCAGAUCGCCUCCCAAGCCACUAAGCAGUGACCACCACGGGCAUCUUGGCGACCCUUCGAGAGAAAACCACGAAAAAUCUUCUCGAUGGCAUCAAUGGAGCUCAUGGGGAGAUCAAGAGCUAGCAUGGAGUAGACUGGCAUGGCGUAGAGGGUGGACUUCACUGCAUCAAUCGACCUCCACUGGAUAAAAGAGGGGCGGCCCAAGAUUGAAGCUUGCCAGCCACCUUAUCCACUAACGGUCUGAGCUGGGCCGCCGAAAUCUUCCAGGCAGGCCCAAAAAAUAAGUGCACGGAAAAUUAGCCAUCGGACAUUGGAGCUCACGGGCCACAAUCAACUGUUGGGCUGCAGAGCACCGGAUAAGGUGGGCCGCAUUUGUCGCCAUGUUAGCCUAGAGAUCGGAAGUCAAUCUGAAGUCCAAGAGCAACGCGGAGCAAGCCCGCAGCUCCAGCUCCUCCGGGCAGAAGAAAGCCUCCACGUCAUCGGCAAAAAUAGAAGUACGUCGCCGAAGUCCACAAUCAGCAAGAUUCCUUCUUUCCGAAGCCCGGGAGAACAAAGAGUUGAGCACGUCCAUCGCCAAAAUGAAGAGCAUGGGAGAUAGAGCGUUGCCUUGCCUCAAUCCACGUCGAUGAAGAAUCUCCUGGCCAGGGAUCCCGUUCAAGAGAACCCUAGUAGAGGAUGUCCCAAGCAACCCACCAAUCCAGGAAAUCCAACGCCGUCCGAAGCCCAACCUCGCUUCAGACGUCGAAAAGAAACGACUAGUGGAUGGAGUCAAUGGCCUUCGUGAUAUCAAGUUUGAGAAGCACCGAAGACUCCGGAGCCACGUGAAGAUGCCUCGCUGACAUCUGAACCGGAGAAAAAUUGUCGUGACGACAACACCCUUUGAUGAAAGCACUUUGGUGAGGGCCAAUCAACCCCGAUAACCACGGUGCCAAUCGGCAAGCAAGGACUUUAGCCACUAGCUUCGCAAAGCUAUGAAUGAGACUAAUCGGGCGGAAGUCUCGCAGCUCCUUAGCGUCAGGCCUCUUGGGAGCAGCGAGAUGAAGGCUUGAUUCACAUCCGCCAGGCUGCGAGUGUUGAGCCGAGAAAGAGAAUGGAAGCAAUCCAAGAUAUCGCCCUUAAUCACUUGCCAACAGGAGGUAUAGAAACGUCUGGUGAAGCCAUCACGCCCCAGGCUUUUGUCCCGAGGCAAUUGUCGAAUAACGCUCCACACCUCCUCUUCUGAGAAGUCAACCUCCAACUCACCAAGAUCAUUGUUCGGCACAUCAAGGAACGCAAGAUCUAGGGCAAAUGGCCGAUCCACCGACAGAACCCAGCAAUUGCGUAUAAAACUCAUCCGCUGUGGCUACUUUAAGGUCAUGGUCCGACACCACCAAGCCAUCCACAGUCAAGUGAGAGAUGAAAUUCUUUCGCCGUCUAUGGCUCGCAUUAAGGUGGAAGAAGCGAGUGUUGGCAUACCCCUCCUUACGCCACAAAAGCCGCGAACGGUGACGAGUGAUAAGUUGAUUGGGGAUAUCAAGAUCUAGAUUUUGAUCGCUUAGAGACGAGGUGGCAGCAAGGUUUUGGUUAUGGUCGGUAUUUCUUCUUUUUUUCCGAAAUACCGGACGAUAUUAAUUUUUGGUUACCAUAUUUCUCAGUUCCUCCAGGAAAUGGGGUUUACUUUAAAAAAAUGAGUUUAAGCCACAAAUUAACCAAUGGCUUUCGAAUUAGGGGGUUUACCGACCAAAACCGUUUUCUAAUCCGACAGUAUAGGAUAGAGGAGGAGAAAUAAUUGCUCGAUUUAUAUUUGGAAAAUCGUAUAAAUUUUAUGAAACCAUGUUUUCCGAAUUACAAUCGGAUAAUCCGCACUAAUAAGUCAGAUAUGCUUUUACUUGUGUAGCUGUGUUUGAACUUCCGAUGUGUAUACCAAUAUACUAAUACAAGUUUCAGUGUGUGUAUAUAAGUAUGAGUGUGUCUAUGUGUUUGUGAUUUUAUCCAUGGUUUGGUAUCUGGGUCCAACAUAAAGGACUUGAACUUAUUUUCUGCCCAUCAUUAUUGGUUUCCGGUCCGACAUCUAUCCGCUACCGUAUCCAUGGACAGACCCAAAAAUACAUUUUAGAGGAGGCAAAAAUGAAUAAAUGGGCUGAGUGCGGGGGCAUAUACAUGGGCUGAGUGGGGACAUUUACUUGUAACAUUGGCCAUAUGCUACUGGACCAAAAAAAAUUAAGUGGGGCAAAUGCCCCCAUGGGCCUUAACGUAGGUCCGGCCAUUACCGUAUCAUUUCCGUUUCCGCGUCUGAAUCCGCAUCCAUAUAGUUUCCGUAUUCCAUAAAAAAAAGGAAAUAGGAUAGAGUAGGGGUAUGAUCCGACCGGAUCCAAUCUGGUCUCACCAUUAGGGAGAAUAAUGUUCAAAGCAAGAUUGAGGACGCGUAACGAAGGGCAUUUGAUUAAGGGUUCGAUUGGAGCAUCUGCAUCCCAAGUCCAGAUCGCUUCAGUGUUUAGGCGGACAUAUCGACUUCCUCUCUCUAUUCACCUCUCUAAACCGGCUUCUUUUAUUUUUAUUAUAUGCUCCCUCCAUUGCAAGUUACAGGACAUAUAAUUCGUUUAGAUAACACUUUGCCAACAAUUACAACACUAGUACAUAAUUGAUGUGACGUGAAAUUAAUUGGGCCCUUAGACUCGUAUUUAGAAACUAGUACAACACUAGUACUUAUGAUUAUUAUGAUUUUGCAUCACAGGAACUACAUGUUAGUUGAGUAAUUAUUGGUGAAAACCUUGUCUAAACGAACCAAAAUAUGGAGUAUGAUUUGGAACUGACAUAGGGUGAAAUUUUUACCUAGAUUAUAUUAGUGUUGGGGAGCUGAAUAUUUGUAAAUCUUACUUACCGCCGACCCUAAAAUACGUGUGCUACUCUCAUAGGGUGUUAAUUAUAUCUGUUACUAUUUUUGUAUUCCCUCCGUCCCAAAAUAAAUGAUGUGAAUUUAUAUGAAUUUUUAUACAAAACGACGUCACUUAUUUUGGGACGGAGUGAGUUGAUUUUUCCUUCAAAAAUAUGAUGUCCAGACUGGAAGAUGCAGCUGGAUCAGAAAAAUCUAGCUACGAGCACAAGAUGACAAGAUUAGAAGAACAGUUGUGGAGUUAAUUUCAACUACAUUAAUUGUGCAGGAAAACACACACACCACGGACGAUAUCGAUAUCUUCAACAAGCUUGUCAAAGACAUGGCUGUUGUGUUGAAUAUUUUACUUCGAUAGUGUGAUUGAUAAAAUCGUGGAAAGUGACUUGUGUUAAAUGUUAGUAUCACUUUACUUGAUUUAUCUGUACCGGCCAACGGGCCAAGGCAAUUUGUGUUGAAUAUUCUACUGGGGAAAACGACUCUACCCUUCAAUGAAGAGAGUUGGAGAUGCGUGUUCGAAAAAAUCACUGAAAUCUUCGUGCUGUCAUAAGAGUAUAGAUAGGUCUUGUCAUAGGUCUUGGUGGCAAAGCAAGAGUCACCAGAAGGACAAGUAAGACUAUUACACGGAUGUGCGUCUACGAGACCAUUUCACUCCACUUUGAAACAACGAAACAAAAUGAUAACGUUUCAUAAGGUUUGGCAUGGAUUUAAACUAGAACUAGUUUAAACCCGCGCCAAUCUUUAUGAAAAACAGAAGGAGUAAAUCUGAUCCUUGAGAAAAGCCGAGCAGAAAAUAACCCUACUUUGGAAGAUUAACAGAUAUUGAUCCUUUUACUCAACCCAUUCAAUUUGAAGGCUGAAAUUAGCUAGGUUAAAACCCCAGACUUUGUCAUUACUACGGAUCUGACACUAGAGGAUUCGUGGACGCUAUGUAAGUUCAACAUCAUUCUUUUUGGUGCCGGCCUAGCACCAUUCAAAUUGGCACUGACAGGGACAGAGAAGGAGAAGGGGGGGGGGGGGGCGGCUAAUCAUCUCAUUAAAAAUGACUUAAAAAUAAGUGAAGUCUCUACUUUGGCCCCAUGAUCAAAACUCGUCCCCCCGUCCCUUCUCAUGUUGAAUUACUGGUUCCGUCUCUGGGCACUGAGCAUUGCAACCCUCAACGCCAACUGGCUCGGUGCCAAGGUCCAAGGCCGGAACCCCUAAACUUUGAUUUUCUCGGUUCACUAAGUUCUUUUCAACGACGAGGUGUAUGGCGCUAAUCUAGCAAAGUUCAGUGCCACAGCUGUUGACAUUGAGCAAAAAGAUUGUAUUUGGUCGAAGUGUAAGUUCAACAUCAUUUUUUUUUGGUGCCGGCCCCCUAGACACCAAUCAGAUUGGCACUGAGCAUUGCUAGAGAUGUUUUUGGCUGAACUUAAAAUGGGUCAGUUUUGCCAAUUUGACAGCAAAAGGAGGAGACAAGGACGUACAAGCAGCCAUGAAUAGAAUAUCUGCAUUCACCCUGUGUCUUUCUUCUGACAAUUUUUGAAAAUUUCCGAAAGAUGAUUAGUGCAAAGCUUUAACCAAAUCUCAUAUUCGGCCUUCAUGAUACGUUUUUCUAAAACUGCCUUCAUGACACUGAACAGGCUAGGUUAGCACGAAUGCACGAUAUAUCUUGGCACACGAAACUUAGCACUUUCGCAAGCGGCCGAUAUUUUGAGGGACCGGCGGCAGCGCCUUAAGAUUGAUACGAUCCUCUAGCUUGCGAAGGACAAAACUUAAUUGCUUUCUUUUCCGAAGCGGAUAGGUUUUUUUUUUUCAGAAUAUUCCGAAGCGGAAAGCUAGGAGCCUAGCUAUAUCAUGUACUUUUCGUGCCACGUCUAUGCUCUAUCUGUCCCUUUCCCUUCUUAAAGAUGUUCUAUGUUUGUUUCAAAUGAGAAAAAGAAAAGAAAAAUCGAAUCGUGUUCGUGUCGCGCUGGGAGGCCCUGGCAAUGGGAUGCACAACUUGUUGUUAUUGUGUGGAGGGUACAUCCGUUUAUUAACAUGAGCUACAAAAAUUGUACUGACGAAAUACAACAUGUAUCUUGAUGAUUUUUGAUAUAUAUAUUCAUAUUUUAAUAAAUAUGAGUCACUUAGUAUGAAACGGAGAGAGUACUCUCUCUGUCUUAUAUUAAUCCAUACACAUUUUAAUUAGUGUGUACGUACAUGCGUAUCUAGAUAAAAUUGUGUCACUUGAUAUGAAACGGAGAGAGUAUUAGUUACUAUUUAAACCUAGUAGGCUGUGGAAUCGUCAUUUUUCUAGAGUACAAUUCCCAUCGCUAUAUAGAUUUCGUUAAGCCGUCAGGCUACGGGUACCCUCCUAAUAUUGCUUUUAGGAGGGCAAUUAUUGUUGCAAGAUUGAUUGCCUGGGAGGAGCUCUGUGGCUUGCUUCGCCUCGGUACACUUGGCGGACCAACCUGAUUCAUUUUUCUAGGUAUUGUUUAUGUUGAGUUUGUCUUUUAUGAAAUUUUUAUAUUUGUACGCGGAUUAAUUCCAGUUGUCAGUUCCGUCAUAAAAUUCUUUGGAAGCCGAAGGUUCCACUUAAGUUUAAGAUAUUUGCUUGGUUUGUUUGUCUGAGUGGUAGUUCUCGUUAAGGAUAAUCUAGCAAAAAGGAACUGGAAUGGCUGCAACAAAAUGUUAUUUUUGUUAUCAAAAUGAGACGAUUCAGCAUUUGCUUUUGGUUUUCCCAUAGCACGCUUGGUGUGAAGAGUUGCCUUUGUGGCAUUUAAUUUGCCGCCACCAUACGUCAUGUGUUCCCAAUAUGUUUGGGCAUUGCCGCGUCGGCUUUAGCCUCUGGGCAAACAACUUGGAUCGCUCAUUCUUGUAGGGCUUUGUCUGGAUCUGGAGGAAUGAUUUGGUUUUUAAUAAGAAAAAGUCCAACUUUUGCAGGUUAUUUUCCGGGUGGCUCACUGACUCUGUAGUUCUGAUGGUGGAUAAGAAUUCUAUGAAAUUUGGGUGCAACCGAUAAGAGACGGGAACACACGCGUUUUUCAGUCUAUUUGGCGCACCGUUCUUAUGCUACCAGGAUGAUAUGAUCUUUUCUAGCGUUUCUCAUGUUGGUUAUUUGUGAUUUGCACGAUUCUUGAAACUUCAAUAGUAUAAUGACUGUGUACAUCGAUGCGGAGAAAAAGUGCUCCCUGGCUUCUUAUCUUAAAAAAAAAAGACCUGGUAGAGGUUGUCCACUUAGUUCCGGAGUGUAUGCUGAAAAAGAAAAAAGAAAACAAACAUCCAAGACUCUACGUUCUUGAAAACAAAAUAUCCAGUGCUCCCACCUCUUUUGAUGCUACCAUGCUACCACGCAUGUUAACAUUCCUAUUUUUGUUUUCAAUUUUUUUGAAAUAAUUGAGUGAGUUCAUAAGACAUGUGUCUGAGUUGUCCUAAAAUUUCAACUCUAAAUUCAUUAUAAACAGAGAGGAACAAAAAAACAUUAAUAAUGUUAGCAAUUUUAUCUUUUGUGUUUUGUCUUUUUGCGACCUAUUCACAUCCCAAAUUGUUUUUUUUGUUUCUCUAUACAUAUAAUGAAUUUGGAUCUAAAACUUUGCAAGAUGGUAAACACAUAUCUUAUGAACCCACUCAAUUCAUUUCGAAUUUUUUUAAAAUUUUCUAGUAGUACCAUAUGUGUUGAUAGCACGGUAACACCUACAGGGUGGGAAUACGGGAUAUCCAGGGCUGAACUAGUAUCGAUCACCAAGAGUCCAUGUGCGAAAGGAAAAGCAGUGCGAAAAAAAAGAUGAAUCACCGGGCGAGACCUGUAUGCGCAUGAGGAGGUCGGAACUGUUCUUGGUCUGAUUCCGGCGGCUGGAGAACUCGAUGCGGGCAGCUUCUACGGCGGCGAUCUCGUCGGAGUCGUCAGGGUCGAACUCCCACACCUGCCGGCCAGCGUGGUCGUUCGUGGUGCGCAGCAGUGGGUUGCUGCGGCCCUCUGCGAUCUUUAGCUUCCACAUUGCUUAACUACGGAGUACUAUUGGUGGCCCUACACAACGUACCUAACAAGCCUCGCUCGCCACUCUAGCUAGCCGAUACAAGGAGCUAGCGGCUAAUAUAUAUAUACUACGGAAGAAAUCUGAGAUUGUCUGCUAGCUGCAGGGAUCGCGAUGUAUGUACCGGCUGACAUUACUGGAAUAUACUUCUUACAUUUCAUAAUUCUUGUGUCAAAUUUAUUCAAAAUUAGAUGUAUCUAUUCUUAAAAUAUGUCUAGAUACAUGUAAUUUCGACAGGAUAUGAUCCUAAAAUAUGUCUAGAUAUAGAUAUAUGUAAUUUCGACAGGAUAUGAUAGAAUAAUGACUUACUGGAUCCGUGGAUCAGUAGAUGCAUUGCUUUGUAACUAUGAGUUGGGUUGUACUCUUAAUCACUUGCAAUUAAGUUUUACUAAUUAAACAUAAUCUUCGGAAAUAGUUACAAUUUACUCAUGCAUUUUAACGGGUUUUAUAUAGUACUGUAAUUUAUUUGAUCAGAAACAAUAAGAGAUUAUCCUACUGUAACAAAUUAAACCUAAAAAUAUUUACAUGGAGAAUCUCCACGACCUAGCUAUGCACUCUGCGUCAACUGACACUCACAUAGCAUCCCUUUUCCCUGACUCAUCCUAUGGAAUCUUCCAUCGAGUCAAAACAGUUUUGGAGUUUUUGUAAACAAAACUUGAAGAUCUCCACUUCUCCUGACUUAAUGACUCAAAGUCGCCCGUAAGCAGGGGCAUGGCUAAUCAAUUAGAUUGACACUAUCGAGAGGUUUGUACACUUUACCCACUUGACACAAUCAGUCCAAAGUGUUGCCUGACCACAAGCGUGCGCAACAGGUAAAAAUUGUGACGAACUCUUUCACUAGAAGCCCCUGAUACCUAAUUCUGGCACCGCCCACCCCAUAUGAGCACAUUGGCCCCUCUCUGGAUGGCGAUACGCAGGUAAGGGUUUGAUGUGGCUGCGGGUGGCCCGAUCUUUCGAUGAGAUUGAUAACUCUCGAUUUGGGUAGGAGGUGACGUUGACGAUCCGACUACGGCCUAGAAGGCAGCGGCUUAGCAAUCGAUACACAACCUCCAGAGGGUUAUUGAUUACGCGGGGGCACGAUCAACCUGACCACGAAGGUCUUUGUUCCUGCAAGCAAUCGAAGAACAAGUAAGAACAAGAUAAAUAGCGGAUGCAAUCUGAAAUUGCGAAUAUACUAUAUCAAACCAAUGUCUCAACGAGACAAUAAGUUGGGGUUCCGAAAGCAGUAAAGCAGGUGGUCUAAACGACACACGCGAUUAUACGAAGUAGUAGCGAUGGCUAACUUUUAACUCAACAAAACCCAAGGCUCCUUAGGGGGGCUCGUGGGGUAUAUAUAAAGGAGCAGGGAGAGAGAUUUUCGUCCACCUUGAGUAACGAGCCCGAAAUCCAAAUCUAUCUCUAACUUUCCUAACAAACUACAACUCUUUAGGAAACAGAAAAACAGAUCCGUCAGCUUGUUUUCUCCGCCACGGUCAGCACGCGUCGAAUCUACUUGUUGGGCCGGAUCCGUUGGAAAGGUAUUGUAAUUGUAUUUCCAACAAGUAAUUGUUUGCUUGAUUUGGACUCCGGAUGCGGCCUGGGUGAUUAAAACAAAUUCGAGUCUCCUGACAGGUCGGACCCGAAUCGGAUUCAACUUUACUUCGUGAUAUCUUUCUCUAGCAAGUUUCAUGUGCCGUUUGAUUUGUUAGAAAGUAGACUUGAUAGGCUUCAUUUUGAAUCUCCCUUUGCAGGCUAUCACACUUCAUAUUCACUUUGGACUUGUAAAGUUUAAUAAGAUGCCUACAUAAUAAGAUUGCAUAAGAUAGAAGCUCCGCCUCUUUGCAAGUAACAUAUAGAAAACAUUUAGUAAUUGAAUUCACCUGAUUAUAAUCGUUAUUAGAUACACCAACAAUUAGGGUUCUAAUGGUCGUAUCCAUGGUGAUCAUGUCCAUAUCAGGGUUUCCCGCUAGUUAGUAAACCAAGUCAGAGCCCAUAAUAGCAAGUGGUUGCACAAGAAGCCUUUGGGUACAUGAGAAGAUUUGAACUCUUGGAUUUCUCGACGGCGAUCCCCACCUUCUCCUGAGCGUGUACCCGUUACGGGGUUACAACACUUGCCGACAGCCAACUGGCCUCCAUCAUACCACUCUGUCCAGAUAAAACAUUUUGGUUUUAUUUCAAAAACAUUUUUCCAAAAACAUACUCGCUCAUAAAGAGCACUUAAUACUUUUCAAUAUAGUUUGCGUCCCGUCCCGUUAUAAUAGUACAGCAUGCUUUGGAAAAUGUAAAUACAUAACCUAUGGUAUUUGGUGGCAUGGUAAUAAAGUCCUAUAAGCAAUCUACUAGGAAUAACUAAAACAUGUUGAAAACGCAUGUGAUAAAUACUUCAUAAAGAAAUAACUCUAACAUGCAUCCCUAUGACAUUGUAAACAAAAUAGCAUAAGCAAAAAUAUAGGUACUACAUGAUCAAUAAGUGUAACUUGCCUGGAUCAGAAAAGUGGCUAUGGUUGUCAACUCGCUGGCACUCACAAUCCGAAUAAUCUAACGCGAAGAAUGAAACAAAAUAAAUGUAUAGCUCCAAGCAUAAAUCAAAAUCCAACUAUAACUCCAAAUGAACUUCGAAUAACAAAAUGUAUUCCCAAACAUUGAAGAACAAAACCCAAACUUCAUACAAAUAAUACUAGAGUACCAACAAACAUGGUUCUAAAACCUAUAGCCAAGCCUAGAGUGGCUAAGUCUGAAAUUCAGUAAUCUGCUACAGUUAACAGGUUGCAACUAAGGUUGACAGAUAAUAGGUGCUAAAGUACAGAACAUGGAAUGAAAAGUAUGCUACUGGACAGUACUAAGAUUGUACUAACGCAACUGGUUUUGUGCCCAAUUGGAUCUACAGAUCGAAAGUUACUGGCUUGCAAAGGUGACUAGUCCGAUUCUGACAGAUAAUAGAUACUAGCUUCUACUGAAAAGCUACUGGUGCUAAACUAUUCGAAAGAUAGAGAACUACAACUAUGAAUCCAAGAAUAUAAUCUAUUCUUCAAAAUGACGCUAGUUACACAAACAUUGGAGAUAUGAGCUAAUAGCUAUGAACAGAUGUAUGUGGCUGCUCUAAAACAGAACAGUACAGGAUACAAACUUCUACUGUCAUGCUACUAGUGAAGAUGAAUUUGAAACGACCCAAUUAGGGAACUACUGUGUAGGCGAGUACCUAAGGUUCCAACUACAGCAAGAAUAAACCAAAAUAAUGCUGCAGACAACAGGAAGAACUACUGUGAACUAGGCAACUCGGUAAGAAAAGAUGUGGCAACUUCCUGCCGCGGCAGAGAGGCUGCUAAGAAUACAGUUUUGCAACGAUGAUGCAGUGCUGAAGAUGAACCAUCUAUGGCUACGCACUAAAGAACAAUCACAGAGCAACAUACACUAUACACAAUGGUGAAACCUAGAGCACAACAUGAUCAGCGGUUUGCUAACAGUCGAUGCCUAAAGAGGGCUAAUCGAACAACUUACGGUGCAGAGGGAAGAUGAACAAGUUCAUACCUCGUAUCUCACCGGAGAUGAACGGAAUCGAAGAAGAGAGGCUCUGGGGGGUGGACGAGGUUCACGGCUUCGCGGGAAGAAGAAUGGCGGCGGCGUCUUGCUCCGGGGUGGCUCCAAGCGGCGGCGCGUCGUGGCUACGGCGAUGGCAUCCUCGGUCGUCGUCGUCGGGGUCCUCCGGCGUGCUCCAACGCCGAUGCCGUCGUGUACGUGAUCGAGGACGUCACUGCGAACUCAAAGGAGUCGACGUUGGUCUUCUGGGCAUGCUGCAGCCACUACUAGAAAUCUAAGAUAAGCCGAUAGUAGUUUCAGAUGGCCGACAGCCCGUCGGUAAUUUUAAUAAUAGCCGACAGUUGUUUACAUGGCCGACUGUUUCAAUUGGACCACACAUAUAUUAACUGUUAUAUCCGAUGGUUGGAGUUGGGCGGCGGCACUGCUCCGAGGACGACGCGGCCAAUGGCUUCCAUUGAUCGCAAGAUCGUCAACAAUGGCGGUGGUGGAUGGCGGACAGAGACAUCGAGGAUACGGGCUCUACAGGGGUUCAUAAGGGAAACUUUCAAUACGACAACGAGGGAGGAUUGGUCUGGACACAAGAUGACGCGCUAGGGAUUGUCUUAUAUAAUCCGAGGAGGGAGACUGGGACGUGGAUGUUGUCAGUUGGCAUUCGGGGCGCGUGAGUUUUGUGACGCGAUGGAGGGAAAAGGUUCAACUUUUGACUGAAUCGGUUCUCGGGGAGAUGGGAUCAAAUAUUUGGUCUCGGAUCGAAGAUAAACGGUUGGGUCGAGGGGAUCAACCGGCGGCCGACGUACGUGCGUGCGUUCUUGGUAGGGGUCGUGCGCGAGGUGGAAGACGACCGAGUCUGACUUGGUCGCUUGCUGGGCUGGGGCAGCCGACUGGGCUGAUCAGCCAAGAGAUGGGCCAGAGGUAGGCUUCGGCCCAAGAGUGGAAAGGAAAAGAAAAGAAAUUGGUUGCUGGGCUUGGACCUGGCAAACGGUUGGGCUGUGGUUUGUGGGUUUCGGCCCAGAGAGGAGUUCAGCUAUUUCUAACCUUCCGCUCAUUACAAAAUCACAGGAAAUUUAAAUAUGGCUUUUACAAAUACCACAUGGAACUCCGAAACAUUCUUUAAAGUUUCAUUAAAUCAAAAUAGUCAUCAUGGGCUUAGGAAAUAUAGUUUCCACCCAAAUGUCCUUUUAUAAAUACUUUUAAAUUAAAAUAAAUUUUGAAUAAGCUCCAAAUAGAACCUCAAUAUAUUUCUAUAGUUCACCAAAUUCGCAAAUAAAUCAAUAACAUCAAACCAAGCACUUUGAAACCAUUAAAAAUAUUUCCAACUAUAUAUAUUUGAGAAGUCACGUUAUCCCACUCUUAGUGAUUAAAUAAAUGUUGAAAAAACAUUUGAACAUGAGGAUGUCAUGUUACCCUCUUCUCUCUUAUUUGAUCAUUCCUUUUAGGAAAUGAUGAAUAAAUAUAAAAAAUAAGAACCAAGAAACAUAGGUGAUCUAUUAAAUAUUUUUUCCAACCUUAAAAAUGGGAAAGUCAUAUUAUUCCCUCUCUUUAUCAUUUGAAUAAAUAUUGGAAAUCAUUUCUAAUGAUUCAGAAUUCUAAAGACGAUGAAAACCAAUAAUGAACAUGAUAUGCUUUCGUCAACAUACAAAGAUCCUUUAAUAAAUCCACAAAAUGAAGUAGAAUUUGUUGAGUUUCCAAACUCCAAACAACAUCAUAAAAUGGAAAUCGAUUGAAAUAGAAAUACUAUGAAAUUGAAUAAGUCUGUAAACCAUGACGUAUAAUUUGGAUAGUCAUCUUAAUCCACUCUUUUGUUGAAAAUUUCAUCGUGAUGAGAAAAAUUCAAAUAAGUCCUGAAAAUUUUAAAUUCUUCGUAAAAAUCAACCAAAUCUCAACAAGAAAGUUUUCAAAACAACAAAUUUAAUUAGAAUAAUUAUUUUUAUUUAACAUUCCAAAAUGAGAAAUUUCGGGAUGUUACAAAGGAUGACGGGGGGAGCUCAGCCCCGGUCGGGACCGCGUGGGGGUGCUCUCCCCACCCUCCUUUCUUCCUUUUUGAAAAAGGUGGCUUGUCUUCCGUCUAUUUUUGCUAGGCUUGGACAGUGGAGAGGACGGCGAGGUGUCGGCCUUGCAUUCGCCGGCCCGGACGCCAAGGAGCCCCCUUCAGCCUAUAAAAUGGAGCCAAGAGCUCAUGGUGGAGCUCCACACCGGUCUUGUUUGAUUUUUCCGGCGCCGAAGCCUCAUUCGGCGGCGCCCAAAACUUCUUCGGGACUUGGUGUUCUAGGGUGCCUUGUAGGGGCAUUAGUCACUUCCUCGUAGCCACGGAGAUUGUUUUGGCCGUGAGGGAGCUACAACGGAAGCUCGUCUUCAUGGGGCCGCGGUGCCGGUCGUGUCUUCAAGUCCUCCCGGGGGGCCCUCGACGUCGGCCGGUUCCUCCUUGCUCGUGCAAAGGUGAGGUGGACACACCCGCGCUGAUUUUGGCUUCCUUGGGCGUCGGUAGGCCUUCUAGUCAUUCCGUCGAGCAUCUUCGGUGCGAGCGGGGCGUGACACGGAGUGACGGGGCGCGAGGUCGUCCGGCGUGGUGCACGUGGCAAGGCGCGCCGAGGCGCCAGUCGAGGGUCGGCGUGACGCAUGCCGUUUGGGCUCACGCGUGACUCGCAACUUCGUGAGCGCGGAGCGGGCCGGCAAGGCGCGGGCGCAGGCAUUGAGCUCUCGGGGCAUGCGCACGGGGUGGCACGCGUGCUCGUAGAGCUUCGUCAGCAUGGAGCAUCGGGAGCGUGCGGGCAUGCCCGGCGCGGCACGGGCACGCGCGACGCGGUAUGGCACGGCGCGGAUGCGCACGAUGCGGUGCGAGCAGGGCGCUUAUGGCACGGCGCGGCGCGGGUGCCCACGGGACCGGACACGCGAGAGCGGCAUUGUGCGGAACACUCGGUGGGCGCGGGCAACAGUUUUUGCUGCGCCCUUUCCCUUCUUUUUUUUGCUGCACACAGACGGGUCGUCGAGCGGGUGGGCCGCUGGCUUUGGCCCGGCAGGCUUGGCCUCUUUUUUCUCCUUUUUUUCGUUUGCACGCUAGCAGGCCGAGCGCUUCUCAGCCCGGGAGGCCUAUCCUCUCUUUGUUUUUGCAUGCUGGCAGGCCGAGCGCUUCUCGGCCCGGGAGGCUUGGCCUCUCUUCUUUGUUUUGGGUUGCUAUUCUCUUUGAGAUUUCCCCGCAUUCCUACUAACCGUUGUCGAAUCUUUGUUCGUGUAGGUGAGAUGGCGGGACCCGACGCCGAGCACGCGACUGAGAGGGAGCCUUUCAAGGGCUCUGCGGCGGAGCGCGCGGCGAGCCAACCAUCGAGGAAGAAGAAGGUCGUCUUUUGCCCAUGUGGGGAUCCUCCGGUUGUCCCGGUGGCUCCAAUGGAGGGCGGUUGGGCUCACGACUACCUUCUCCCGUCUUCGAUGAGUCCCGAGGACCUUGCUCAGCUGGAGGAGGCGGGAUACUUCCCCAAGGGGGAUGGUAUCUUGCCUGAUGGCGAGGAGUUCAGGCUCGACCACAAGCGGCACCCAGGGUGCAUCGUGGUGUUCUUGGCUUGGUUCCACGCGGCUUGUGUGUGCCCGUCCACUCCUUCCUGCUGGAGUUCCUGGAGACGUACGGCAUCGAGUUGGCUCAGCUUCAUCCUUCGGCGAUCGUGAGGUUUAACGUGUUUCGGUGGCUGUGCGAGACGGCACUUCACAAGGAGCCUUAGAUGAGGUUGUUGCUGUUCUACUUCACCGUGGAGGCUCACUCCUGAUGGCUUUACUCUGGGCGCCUUUGGUUCGGUGAACCUGACGCUUCAUUCCGGUUUUGGAGACGACUUUCUGCUCAUGCUGGGGAGGAGCACGGUGAAGUUGUUUGACAAGUGGGAGUCCUAGUGGUUUUUCCUUUGGGCUUCAAGGACACGUCUUCGGCACACUGGUGAUCUUCCUCGACACUCGGGGGCUGGAGGCCUCAAGGAGGUGCCUCACCCUGGCGAGCCUCGGUCGGCCGACCUUUGGAAGGUGACAAAGAUCAAGGAGGUGUCUGCCGAGAGGAGCUUUUGCAACCUUAUGGAGGAGAUGGUGAGGGCGGGGCGCUUCAUGAUGAGGAGCUGCCCAAGGUCCGAGCUCGGGGUUCCUCGGUCUUUCCGCCCCCCGCAGUUUAUCACCACGCGUGAGUACCGCUCCUUUUUCCCUUCGGGCCUUGAUUGUUUUUCCCUCGCGAUGGUACUUAACAACUUUGGCUUGUCUCUUUUUAGCGACAUUUCCGAGGAGAGGGCGGCGCUAUGGGCCGUGCAGCUGAUGGGUUCGUACGUCGGGGCGGAGCAUCGUGGCUACGAGACCAAGAUCAGUGGCGGGCGAUGUCACAACAUCAUUGCGAAGUUCUUGGGAAGAUGGUGCCGAUGUGAAAGGUUCCGAAGUUCGGGCGCCUUCUUCGAGUGGGCGAUCGCUACUCCCACUUGGCGACACCGUCAAUGUUGGCGGUAGGGUCCAAGCUGCGGGACAUUUGCGGGAAGGUGAAGGCGGGAACGGCGGUGUUGGGUCUGGCGGUGCCCGUUGUGACGGUCCCCAAGAUACCUCGUCUGUCAAGUGGAUGCAAGAGGAAGGCUCCCUCGACUCCUUCUCCUUCUUACGACUACGCCCCGGUGGAUUCAGCGGAUCCCGUCAUGGAUGAGUCGAGGUCCCUCCUGAGAGAGACUUUUGACCUGCACAUGAAGGGGAAGAUUGGACUUGAGCAAGUGCUUCCUCCUUCGAGCCACGAGCUUGAGGCUUUCACUCGCGAGACGGGGCUUCGGCUUCGGAGCGACUCGGCGGUGCGGGCGUCUAGGUGUUCUCCAUCGGUCACGAGCGUCCCGAGGAGGAUGCUCCUACCUCGGGUGAGUGCCUUUCUCUUUUGGUUGUGUCGCUCUUAUUUGAAGAUUUUGACAUGAUUUCCUUGGUUUGCUUUCAGGUGUGAGGGUCGCUGCGCCCAGGGUUCCCGAGGGCGAGCCCCCGACUCAAGCGAGGGACGGAGAGCUUCCGACGACCGAGGAUGGAGGGAGAGACCCUCUCGUGACACUGGAGCUGGUGAGCAUCCGUAACAUGUCUCGCUUGGUCCUUCGGGUUUGCUUUUGGGCUAACUCCGUCUUCUCCGUAGGUGCGGGGUUUGGUCGAGGCCGUGGGUGCCCUUCCUGCCCUCAAGACUCAGGUGGGGGCGCUUUCCGCCGCUUUGGACAUGGAGAUGUCCAAGUCCACCCUUGCCUUGAGUGAGUUGGCUUCGGAGAGGGCUCGGCGCGAGGCCGUGGAGGCCGAGCUUUCUCGCGUUUCGGUGGAGCUUGCGGCCGUGGUGACCAGGGGUCGGCUUGCUGAGGAGCGUCAGAAGGACAAGAUCGAGAGGACCCGUUGAGUUGAGGAGGACUUGGUGGUGGCCAACCUUGAUAGGGAGCAUGCUCGAGCGGAGGCUGCUUCCCUCAAGGUAGAGUUGGCGGCAGCGGGGGACAGCCCGAUGCUCGCUCCUCGUUCUCCGCCUCCUCCGGAUCGUCGCCCCAAGGUGGUCUCGCUUUUACUUGCUCAGGCCACCGAGAUUCGGGAGACGAUGAUUUGCUUGAGGAGCGUUUCCCAGCCGGACCUUCCUCCGUGUCGUACGGUGGAUGAGGCGAGCAGGGUGCUUACUUCCCAGGUGGAGCUCAUUGUGCCUACCGUGAAGAAGUGCCUCUUGAGUACGGGUGCUCGACUUGUUUCGUCGGCGGUUGCGGUAGUCCUGAACGGCGUUGCCGGGAUGAGCGAACGUGAGAGUGAGAUGUCUCAUGGGGCGAAGAAGUUUCUGGUGGACCAGGGUGCUCCUCUUCGCGCUCAGGCUCGACGCUUCGUGCAUUGCCUUGAGCCUGCUCUUCAGGAGGGUGACGGUGAGGUGUGAGCCUCGUCGCCCUCGGAGGUGAUGAUGUUCCUCAGCUGCUUACUUAUGCGAUGUUGCAUAUCUCCACUUGACUUAGCCUCAUGGCUAGCAUGUUUAGGGUUUUGGUUGUAGAGGUUGUAAGACAACUUUUUUGUUGUGUUUCAUGCUUCACUAUGUAGUCAACAUUAUCGAAAAUGUUCACUUAGCUCAGCAUGUAUUUCUCAAGUUUCACCAUGUAGUCGACAUUAUCGGAAAUGUUAACUUGGCUCCACAUGUGUUUCUUGGAGUACUAUAUUUCCUUCUUGUGAAGUACUAUAUUUCCUCAGUUUAUACAGCUCGCGAUCGUUCGCUAUGAUUACACUUUUGUGUUAUCAAUUGCUGUCGCCGUUGGGAUACGACUCGGCUUCGGCACCUUAGGCCAUGGUUACGAGCCAUGGAUCCUAGUACCCUUGUGAGGGUCGCUAUCGAUAUGCCGGUAGUGAUCCGGACAUUUCGACCUGCUGUUUGGGAAAUUUCAUGCAGAAUUUUCCCUCUUCAGACUUCAGGAAGCUAUGCUUUCCCGCGAUUAUUAUGGAGCCUUAAUCCGGUUACUAUCAUGCAGGCCCGUGCACGACGUCUCACAUACGGGUAGCAUGGUUCUCCGAGGUAAGUAAGCUCAUGCAUAACUCGCUUAUUUACGGUUCCCCUUAAAUGCAUUUUAAGGAGCUUCCGGCCCUCGAGAGACUUAGUUCUACUUCGUGGAUGGCCUCGAGGCACACUAGGAUCCAUCAAGGAGCGAGUCGCCAGUAGCGACCUAUGUCCGUGGACAUUUUUAGAGGAUGCUCGGGCCAACGGAGGCCUUUUUGCGUUCCUCGGUGAGUGGCACAGGGGCAGCGGCUCUUUUUACGACGAUGAGUCAUGUGAGUGUCUCGUGUCACUCUUAAUUUUUCCUCAAGGACUGGCUUUAUUGAUUCUUGCUUCCUUGUCUUAAGGUAUGGCCUGAUGGGCACUUACAAGCGUUAUGUAGAUGUGCCCUCGUUGGCGCUUACGAUUCCUCCAAGUUUCAUAGGGAACCGGCCGGUUGGGCGCUGAUAGUCUUCUUUUGGGAGCGGCGAGGAUUGUCUCUGAAGUUCAUACUUAGGCGUAGAAACGCCAGAAUUUGUCGCCGUUCCAGGCAUGGACAAGGUUUUGCCCUUCCAUAUUCUUGAGGUGGUAUGCACCAUUUCCCAAUACUGCGGCGAUGUGGUAUGAUCCUUCCCAAUUACGGUCAAGUUUGCGCUGGAGUUUUGGGUCGAAGUUCUUUUUCCGCACGAGAUCUCCUUGGGAGAAGGCUCGUUCCCGCACCCUUGUGUUGUAGAAGUGUACGGCGCUUUGCUCGUAAACGGCAUGCCUCAUGAGAGCUUUGUCACGAGAUUCUUCCACAAGAUCGAUGGCCGUAUUGUGAUGCUCUUCAUUUUCGAUGAAGGCAAGUGGAGUGGCCUCUUGGUGCCUUUCAACCCGAGGUCAGCGGAACUCGACCUCGGCGGGAAGAACUGCUUCGGCGCCAUAUACAAAAUAGAAUGGUGUUCGGCCCGUGGAACGGCAUACGGAGGUGCGUAUGCCCCAAACCACGCUAGCGAGUUCGUCUCCACAUGCUCCUCUAGCUUUGCUAACCGUGUGCUUUACCCUUCGACGGAGUCCUUGGAGGAUUAGUCCAUUAGCCCAUUCGCAUGCGCCGUUGCUCUUGGAGUAAACUACGGAUGCGAAAUGCAGCUUGAUCUCAAGGCAUUCGCAGAAUUUGAUGAAUUCUGCACAUUCGAACUGUUUGCCGUUGUCCACAGUUAGCUCUCGUGGGACGUCAUAUCAGCAUAUGAUGUUUUCCCAGAAAAAUUUCUGGACGGCCUGUGACGUGAUUUUGCCAAGCGGCGUUGAUUCUAUCCAUUUGGAGAAGUAAUCAAUCGUCACUACGAGGUACUUGCAUCCCCCGUUGCAUGCGGGGAAAGGCCCGAGAAGGUCCAUUCCCUAGUGUGCAAAUAGCCAUGUUAUCAGCAUAUUCUUCAGGGAAGUCACGGGCGUAUGGAUUGACUUAGCCAUUUUUUUUACAAGCUUCGCAUUUCCGCAAUAUGGUGAUUGCGUCUUGCACCAUGGUGGGCCAAUAGAAUCCCUGACGUAAGGCUUUUGUCGUGGUGGCUCUUGGCGCAAGAUGGUGGCCGCAUAUUCCUGAAUGGAUUUCCAGGAGGAGCUCGGCUCCUCGGUCAGGGGUUAUGCACUUAAGCAACGCAGCCGCUCCUUUCUUGUAUAUGAUGCCGUCGAGGAGGACGUACAUCUUGGCUUUUGCGAGCAGAAUUUUGGCGGUCGGGCCUUCCGCUUCUUCAUCCACCUCGCCUUUAUGGCGCGGAUAAUCGGUGUCAUUCAAGAGGGUGGAGUGUCGAUGACCAUGCUAGUCUUCAAAGCUUCGUCAAGGGCAUCGGUUUCUUCCUUUAUGGAUGGGGCGUGAAUUACUUCGAAGAAUGCACCGGGUGGCAGUGGUUCUUUGGAACCAGCCGUUCGGGCUAACCUGUCGGCCAGGUGAUUUUCUCCUCGUGGAAUGCAUCGCGCCUCCAUGUCCAGGAAAUACCAUUCCAUCUUGCGAACUUCUUCGGUAUAUUUCUUCAUCCUUUCAUCAAGGCGUUGAUAUGACUUGUCCAUUUGGUUUAUCACCAGUUGGGAGUCUCCUUGGAUGAGAAGGCAUCAAACUCCCAUGGCCUUGGCCAAUCGAAGUCCGAGAAGAAGCGCCUCAUAUUCUGCCAUAUUGUUGGUGGCAUUGAAAUCAAGAUGGGCAGUGUACUCCAAGAUCUUGCCUUUGGGGCUGAUGCGCACGACUCCAGCCCCCGCACCGUUGAGGUGCUUGGAGCCAUCCAACCUAAUUAUCCAAUCUGGUUCGGGGGGCUCGGUCUUGGAUGUGAUUUCUUCGGGCGGGACUAGUGGAGCGUGCCACUCGGCCAUGAAGUUAGCCAUGACUUGGGAUUUUAUGGCCGUUCUCGCCGAGAGUUCCAACGAGAAUUGGGAGCCAAUUCCGUUGCCCAUUUGGCGAUUCUUCCGGUGGCCUCCUUGUUGCCGAAGACUUCCUUGAGUGGGAAAGCAGUUGGCACCAUGAUGGUGUGUCCCAUGAAGUAAUGACGGAGCUUUCGAGAGGUCAUGAGGAGGGCGUAUGCGAUCUUCUCGAUUUGGGUGUAUCGACCAUUUGCUCCUCCCAAAGCUUCGCCCACGUAAUAUACUGGGCGUUGUGACCCAUCUUCUUCCUUCAUGAGUGCUGCACUUACGGCGACCGGGGUCGCAGCAAGGUAUAAGAGCAAAGGCUCCCCCUGCUUUGGGCUCGUGAGAAGUGGAGGGGCGACAAAUAGGUCUUGAGCUCUUUGAAGGCCUUUUGAGCUUCGUCGGUCCACUCGAAGUUGUCGAGGCUUCUUAAGGGUUUAAAAAAAGGAAGACCCUUCUCGGCUGACCGGGUGACGAAUCGUCCCGAGGCCGCCAUUCUUCCCACUAGGCGUUGCACAUCUUUGACGGAGCGAGGAGGCUCGAUCUCUAGGAUGGCCCGGAUUUUCUCCGGGUUGGCCUCGAUCCCUCGUUGAGAGAUAAGGAAGCCCAAGAGUUUUCCUCCUCGAACUCUGAAUGCGCACUUCUCCGGAUUGAGCUUCACACCAUACUUGCAAAGAUAGUCGAAGGUUUCUUGCAGGUCCUUGGGAUGAGCCUUCGCAAUUUGACUUUUGAUGAUGGUCGUCAACAUAGACUUCGGCAUUCCUCCCAAUUGUUCUUUGAGGAUAAGACUGACGAGGCGUUGGAAAGUUGCGCCAACAUUUCUCAAACCAAAAGGCAUCCUGCGAUAGCAGAAGGUGCCGAUGGGAGUGAUGAAGCUGGUCUUUUCCUCGUCUUCCUUGGCCAUGUGGACUUGAUGAUAUCCUGAGUAGGUGUCCAAGAAGUUCAACCUUCCGCAUCCCGCCGUGGAGUCGACCAGUUGGUCGAUCCGAGGGAGCAGGUAGUCGUGCUUGGGGCACGCCUUGUUCAAGUCGGUGAAGUCGACACACAUUCGCCACUUGCCUUUGGCUUUUUUCACCAAGACCGGAUUGGUUAACCAUUCGGUGUGCCAAACUUUUCGGAUGAGCCUGGCGUCGGAGAGUUUGGCGAUUUCAUGCUUGAUGACUUCGCUUCGCUCAGUGGAGAGCUUCCGAAGCUUUUGCUUUACGGGAGCUUUGUCGGGCCUCACGGUGAGGCGAUGCUCCAUCACGUCGCACGGGACUCCUCCCAUCUCAGAAGGUAACCAAGCGAAGAGGUCGGAAUUCUUUCGAAGAAGGCCGAUGAGUUCUUCCUCGAGUUCGCUCGGGAGGUCGGCUCAGAUCUUCACCGUGCACGUGACAUCAUCUUGGGAGACGCGUACUUCCUUGAGUUCUCCUUCGGGGAGCGGCUUAGGGAUGUAGCGUUCCGGGUGAUCAAUUUCAGAUGCUCCCGCGUUCGAAAGCAUGUUGACACUCUUGGAUGAUUCUCCCUUCUCGGCGCAUUUGGUCUCAUGACGGUAGAGCGUCUUCCUACCGGAAGAUUGUUCGCCGCGGACCGUUAUCAUGCCUUUCGGGCCCGGGAUCUUCAUGCACAAGAAGUUGUGGUGGAUGGCGGCGCAGAGACGGUUUAACGUCCUCCUCCUGAGGAUGGCGUUAAAGGAGGCCUCCAUAUGCACCACGUCGAAGCGCACGAGCUCGGUUCGAUGAUUCGUGGCAUCUCCAAAGGUCGUAAGGAGCUCAAUUUGUCCAAGCGGCUGAAUGGACUUCCCUUGCACGAAGCCGGUAAGAGGAUAAAGGGAUGGCUGCAAUGAGCCGUUCUUGUAUCCCCCUUGGGGUUCCAUCAGCUUCUUCAACGUGCUCAGAUAUAGGAUGUCGGCGGAGCUUCCGCCAUCCACAAGAAUUUUCUUGAGCUCACAAUUGGCGACGAUCGCCGUCACGAAGAGGGCGUCGUCGUGUGGGAAGCGUAUCCCCUUGGCAUCUUCCUCGGUGAAGGCAAUUGGCACGCUCGCUCACUUUGGUGUCGGUGUCGGGGUGAAGGUUCCCACGACGUUGACUUCGCGAGCUUACACCUUGCAUUUCCGCUUCGAUCCCCGGCCUGUGGCGGAGCCCCUGAGGAUCACUCUGACGUGAUGCGCGGGUUCCUGAAACGGGAGGUUAUCCUCCUUAGGUGUCGGGUCAGCGACAAGGACGUUGGCGGGGCGUGUAGACUCGGUUGUCUUCUCAUCCUUGCGCUGGGCUUGCAUUCGUGCCUAGAACUCUUCGCGAGCCGCGAUGAAAGUGUUGCACUCCUCAGUGUUGUGGCUUGCCGAGUUGUCGAUGAAGCAUCUUCCAGUUCCUUCCUCAGUGGGGCGAGGUGGCUUCUUGGGUUGCCAAGUCUUUUGAAACGAUGCUUGUCCUUCGACGGCGAAGAUCUUCCGGGCUUGGUCACCGGGGGCCUUUUUUCCCGACAUCCUCUUCUUCUUGGAGGAUGAAGUAGGCGCAGGGGUUUGUCGGACGAGGGAGUUCCUUCGGGAGCGGCGCGCGGCGCGUCCUUUUUGGCAAUGUCCCCGUCUUCGUCCCGGGCGUAUUUUUGCAAGAUUCGGUAGAGCUCCUCGGUUGUCUUUGGAGGGUUACGACUUAGGGCUCGAUUCACUUCUCCUUGGAGAAGGCCUUGCAUGCACGCGUCGAUCACGGUGGUCGACAGCGGGUUGGCGAUUUGACUUCGGACCUUCGCAAAGCGAUGGAAGAAGCUUCGGAGGGAUUCUCCCGUCUUUUGUUUCACGGCGUAAAGCUCAUGAGCCUGCAUGGGUUCCUUGAAAUUUCCUUGGAAGUUUGCGAUGAAGACAUCUUGGAGGUGCUCCCACGAGUGCACGGAGUUCUUCCGCAGGUUAUAAAAACAAGUUUGCACCAUCCCGAUGAGCGUGAGCAGAAAGAUGUUGCACAUCUCGACGAGUCCUCCCUCGGCGGCCCGUAUGGCGGUGGAGUAAUCAUAUAGAAACUGAAGAGGAUUUGAUUCCCCGUCGUACGGCCGUAUCGUAGGCGGCUUGAACCUUGGCGGAAAGGGCACGUCUUAGAUCUCCCGUGUCAGCGGGUUACAAGUCGGCCGGUCCUUUCGGUUCCUUCGGCGGCGAGGUCUUCCCUUGUCGGAGUUGCUUUCGUCGCUAGAAGAGUCGCUUGGAGAAUGAUCUCGGCGUUUUCUUGGGGGGUCGGAGCAUCGACAGGAAUUUCUUUCGCUGCCGGCACGGGCUCCGGACUCUGCCACUUGCUCGUUUCCAUGCACGCUGGGGUCUCGUUCUCCGCGAGGCGCAGCUUGAGGCGGUACUUGGUUGCCACCUUGCUCGACCCCGGCGGGGGGAGCAAGGGGCGCUUGCGGGGCGUUCGCAAAGCGAGUUUGGUGUUGAGCGUGCGCUACUUGGAGAACACCAUGCGGCGGAAGCCCCCAAUAAGGGUGAUACUAAGGAGCUCCAUGGACGACCGCGACGAGUGCCAGCGGGGGUAGUCCCGCGUUCGAGGGGUCGUAAGCCGGGACUCCUUAGUUUUCUGGCACGGAUCCUCCUGACGCCACAUUGUUUCCUCUUGUAGGUUCCGAGAGCAAUGUCACUACCGGUUGUAGGGAAGGUGGCGAAAAGCCCAUCGAGCGACGCAUGCCGAGUUCCGUAUUCCCUGCGGGGGCGGCAACCGUAGGCAGCUCGCCGAUCCUUGCCACCACAUCGGUGAGUGUCGAGGGACCGCCUACGAUGGUUUUGAGCACCUCGGUUUCUUCGGGGACGGCUGGAAGCAGAGGUGCGACCACAACUUCCGUUGUAGCGACCAUGCUUGCGGCGACGUCCGGAUUGGUGAGGAUUCCUUCUUCCUCGGGAGCCCCCGAGGCGCUUGCUUUCUUCGUUUGUAACCAUGUAGACUUUGCGGCAAGUUGGGCACCUGAUGAAGUAGGCUUCGUCGGGCCAUUAAAUCUUCAAUUGCGGCGAGGGUUCCCCACGGUCGGUGCCACUAUUGUUGUUGUCGACAACAAUUAGAAUAAGGGAUGCCAAAGCUCGAUGACACAAGUGCAUGAAAGUAGGGCGUGUACGCCGGCCUUAUAGCGAAGGUCGCCAUACACUUGGACAAGUUGACCCUGCGGGUGUGACCUAGUCCUAUGUUAGGAGAGGCUUCGGGCAAAUCGUUAGCCAAAGUGUUUUGGGUCGAUCGCGACUCCCCGAAUCACUUAGCGAGAGGUCGAAAGGGGCCGCCUCGUACUUGGGCCGAGCGAGGCUUCCCAAGUAGUGAGGUCGAGAUACCCUUAGGACUCUAACCCGACUUCUCUUCCCUCAGGCUCGGGCCGAACGAGGCUUGCCGAGAUCUCAAAACUAGAGCUCCUCUCCAAGAGGCUCUCUAGCCCUCUCCGCUUGAGUUUAUUCAAGUUGAGAGUGAAUAGUACAUGCUCCCAUGUGGGGUAUUUAUAGCCUAGGGGUCCAUGACAAAAGACCAUGGGUACCCUUGAGGGAAAGAGAAAAGUGGGUGCAAAAUGCUAAAAGUAACUCCUUGGUCCAUAUCUUUUGUGUGCACCAAGUGGGAAAAGUAGGGGUUGGUUCAUGGUCCAUCAUGGACUAAAGGCCCCAUCCCAACACCUUUCUUGUCCCCUACUUAAACUCAUUUCUUCCUUUGAGCAUGACAUGAGAGGUUUGAUUUGUUGACUAGUCUUAAUUGUUGUCACGUAGGAUUGGUCAUGCCACGUAGGCACUUGACCCUUAUAGGGAAAUGUUGACUUGGUCGUCGCCACAUAGGAUUUACGGUCCGGUCCAUAUAAGAGUUUUAUUUUACUACAACAAGUACCAUAUGAGGAAUGAGUUAUAUGACACAAGCAUGGCACGUGCUUAAACGUAUCGAGAAUACUAUUUAUGAUAGUGAUUUAGUACUCACGCCAUCCUGCGUGCUUUUAGGACUUAUUCAGUUUUGACGAAACAAAACAAAGAAAAUGUAGGAUGACAAUUGCCAAACUAAGAAUUCAGUUUGUCUUACACUUUUGCAAAAAUUGAGGUUGGAUUAGAUAUUGAGUUUCUUCCAAACCCACAAGAAAUGAAUAGUAUUUCCAAGGAUUUGUUUUGUUUAUUUCCUACAAACCCACCCAAUGCAUCUUCCUAUGAAAUCCCCAAUCCCGUGUUUUUAAUUUGAAAAAUACACCAAACUGAAUGAGCCCUUGGGUCACCAAUUUAACUAACAAGAUAAAAAAAACAAGAAGUAAGGGUCUGUCUAAUAUACUGUUGCCUGGAAAUUUGUAGUUCCAAUCACUUUUAUGUCUUCCGCUUAUCUGGUAUCCAACCGUACAAAAUACUGUACAGAGUAGUUGUUUGACUUGUUUCCUUUGCUAGACUUAAUAAAAUGUGUUUCAGUUGUUCUGGGCCUAUUCUAGACCGGACUUGGUCUAUUCCGUUCUGAGCUGGGCUGAAAAAAUCUUUCUAGCACGAUUUUCAAUACUUAUAUGGUUUAUCUUAACUUCAGAUGGCGACAGGUACGAAAUUCAUCGGGUAGUGCCCGCCCAAACCCGUCCCUGCGACACUGAUCGCAGCCCCGUGCCCAAACCCGUCCCCCACUAACGGGUUCCAUUUUUUUCCAUCCCCGUCCCCGUCGAGGAACCCAAAUCCGUGAGAAUACACAACACAUACAGGAAAAGUCAGCAGCAUAACGACACAAAAACAUCAUGUUUUAAUAUCACAAUGAUAGUAAAACAGUAUAAUGACAAUGCGGCACGGAGGAGUGGGCGGGCCGCGUCAUAGAGGGAGCGACUGAGCGAGAGCGAGUAGGCUCGGAGGGAGUGGGCGGCUCGGGAUGUUAAUAGAAUGUGGGCUAGUGAUCUGGGAGAGUGAAUUAGUAUUAGAAACAUGUUAUAUAUCUAAGGUCUUCUGUAGAAUAGGCUGAACUAGAAUCUAUAUCGUAUUUUUCGUGAAACCCAGUGGGGAUCGGGUUCGGGGAUUAGAUUUGACCCGAACCUGUCCCCUAAUGAAGUAAAAAUGUGUGGGGAUACGGGUUUCGGGGCCAGAUUGAUAUCUUGAUCUUCAACCAUCUUAUGGCAAACUUGUUCACAAUUUUACACGAGAUUUAGGGUGCAAUCGACCCCAGGUGCAAAAAAAAAACUAUUCUCAUGUUUUUUCUUUGUCUAAAAAAUAUUAAUUGCAUAGCUUAAAUGCUGCAAAUUAUGGUCCAUCUUAAUUCUUGGAUCUGAAAUAUUCCUCAUAUUUCCAACAAGAAAUAAGUCCAUAUUUCACUCCCAAAUGUAUCUCUCCGGACGGAUAACUCACUAAACUUGAAAACCGUUUAAUUUUAACCCCAAAAUUUAAAUACCAGAUAAAUCACCCCACAUAAUGGUUUUGGAGCUGAGGUGACACGUUUGGGACGGUUUAGAACGUGGCAAGUUCACCUUUUUUUGUUUGACCGCUGACGUGCCAGAGAUCAUGCAUGGAUGGGUUCGAGUUCCAGAAGGCGGGGUUUUGGUACGCGGACGAAGGCGGAGCGAGGUCACGUCGUUCGGCUCGACGGCGACCAUCUCGCCGUCGCUGUCGCCGGCGUCGUCGUUCCGGCGUUCUUCGGCAGCGCUCUAACGGAACCAGGACAAGUGGUGGUGCCGGCGUCGUGCGUGCCGGACGGCGGACUCUCGGCAGCGGCGCGCAAGGAGCUGCGGUGGCGGGCCUCCGCCAGCCAUGACGGGCGGCGGCAACUUCUCGCAGGAUUACCUGCUGGACUGCGCUGCGUGGACGUCUCGUCGAAGCACGACGCGCUGGCGAUCACAUCGAGGCCUCCAUGUACGUGUGGCUAUCCAAACCAAUCGAUUUUCCCGUGCGCGUGUGUGUGGCUUGGCGUGAAUACUGCAGUUAGCUUCUGAUUGAUGUUGCUGCUGUACGCCUGCGUUUCUCCGGAAUCAAUUAGCUUGCGAUUUGUGGUCUGAACCAACAGGCGCAAGGCGAGCGCGAUCCUUGCGCAUGGCGGCGGCGGGAGAUGGGUGCAGUGGAGUACGGUCAAGGAGCUCGCCGCCGACGAUGGCAGCGUCUGCGGCCAGAACAUGGCGCUGGCCAGCAGGGCCGAGAGCCUCCUCCUACCACUCUUUACACAUGCAAGAUCCAGUUCAACAAGGUGAAUUAGGAAACUGUAUUUCUUCCCUAAGAUGGCCAAGACAGCGGUCAAACAAAAGGUCAACUUACCGAAUCUUGUGCUAAACCGUCUUAAACGUGUCACGUCGGCCCCUAAACCGUCAUGUGGGGUGAUUUAUCUUGUAUUAGGGAUUUCGGGGUUAAAAUUAAACUGUUUUCGACUUAGGGAUUUAUGCGUCCUCAGAGAUAUAUUUUUUAAAAGAUAAUCUUAAGAGAUACAUCGGGAGUGAAAUAUGUUCUUCUUUCUUCCAACAAAUACUAUUUCACACUUGGACCUUGAAAUCCCUAAUACCAAAUAAAUCACUUCCUUGGCAGUUUCGCAGCUGACGUGACACGUUUAGAACGGUUUAGAGGCUGAUUAGGAUCGUUGACUCGUUUGUUUGACCGAUGACGUGGCGAAAGGGAAAGUCCUUCUACCGUUGAUACUUUUCUUCUCUGUUUCUUAGACAGAGUUUGUAGGUCCCAUCUCGUUCUCUCCUCGGAUGGAUUCGUGGCCGAUGCGUCGGACCAGACGCACGCCGCCGCCGCCUGGACAUGGAGCUCGCUCCAUCGGCGGAGAUGACGUCCUCGUGCGCCUGCUGCGCCCGUCCCGCCGCAUGGACAGGCCUCCUCUCGCGCCGGUGGUGGGCAAGGCCGCGGCCGGCGAGGUCGAGGCGGCGCUCUCCCUUGUCCCCUGCCCCGCCGCGCGCACGGGCCUCCUCUUGCGCCGGUGGUCGGCGAGGUCGAGGCGGCGCUUUCUCUCGUCCCCCGCCCCGUCGCUGUCUCCCCCUUGACAUCCGCCUCCCGUCGAGGCCGUGGUCGGACGAGACGGAAGGCGACGCCCGCGCCAAGCCGUUGCUGCGCAUCGUGAGGGCUACUCUAGGGGCCGAAGGCGAGUCAUCGGAGUGGCUGGAGGCGUGGCUUGGUGUCGGGCGGCAUUCGGCCGUAGUCGGGGAAGACGAGUGCUAGCGGCGGCUUGGGGCGCGCGCGGGUCCAGGCUCUCGCGCAGGAGGUUCGCGAGGCGAUGCGAAGCGAGAGGUGGCCGCCGCAGAGCCUGCGUGCGCCAGACGAGCUCGCCAGAAAUGGCAGAGGAGGAGGCAGCUUUGAUCUGAGGGGAAAAGAGAGAAGAGAAGAGGCGCAGGGGGAGAGAGCUCAGGAGAGGAGGAGAAAUACGGAGAGAGGAGCUCGCGUGAGGGGAUAAAGAUGGAGGAGGUGGGGAGCAAGGGGACGGCGGCAUGGUGCCGGCAGGGGAAGGAUGAGGCCCUGUGGCUGAUGCGGUUGGUGAACAGAAUGAGGGAGAAGACAGGCACAUGAGUUGGGUCGGGGCCCAUUUGCAGAGUGACUCAGCCUCUAAACCGUUCUAAAUAUGUCACGUCAACCUUGAAACCGCUAAGUGGAUGAUUUAUCUGGUAUUAGUAAUUUCAGGGUUUAAAUUAGACGGUUUUCCAUUUCAGAAAGAUAUGCGGCUACAAGAUACAUAGGUGGGUGAAAUAUGGACUUUACAGCUGAAGAGAGUCUGGAAAUCAGGUUGGGUCAUGACCGACGCAUCAGGCCCAUGAGUUCCAUCCGCUAGCCGGCCUCGAUGGCUGCUGGAUCGAUCGAUGGGAAAGAAAGAAAAGGCUGCCUACAUCCAUAUAGGCGUACUAAAGAAAGAAAAGGCCGGCGGGAUUUAUCUAUCCAUAUAGUGAGAGAGAAGGCCGGACGUUGCGGAGACGCUAAACGCCAUUUCAUCUGCGAUCUGUUCCAAAGCUUCUGCUAGUGCUAGUAUCGUUGCUAGGUUUUCCAGGAGCACUGGCGUAACCGCUGUCAUCAGGGAUUUUCGGUUCCCCUCGCGUCCGGCCGCCGCAUUGGCACUGCGAGGUGGGGGGGACCGAGAUUAUCUAGAAGUUUUUCCUUAGAUCGAUUGUUUGCCUCUGAUCGGCAAUGUCAUGGUGGAGGGUGUGAUGCCGUCACGAAUAAAGGUACUUUGGUGGUUACCUUGUUGUGAUGGUGCCUCAACGGGCGUUGCUGCGGAGCCAGAGAUUUUUAAUCCCUGUGGAUUUAGUGUACCCGAUCUUGUGGAUCUUGGGUUUGUGUAUUCGCAGAUCCGUUUACACGCAUCUGUUGAGUUUUUGUUAGUAUGUCAUGAUGUUUUUGUUGGUUUUAUAUUUUAUAAUUUUGAAAUACUUCUCUGGCGUUUUGAUGAAGAUCUUGCGGCUCGACGACCUGCACGUUUAGGGGAUCAUCCCCGCCCCAAGUACAUUCAACGCUCAUGGCUUCUCAUCCUUUUGGAUGAGCGACUCAGGGGGCUUUUCGAAACCUUUGAAAGUAGUCAAGUUCGUGCAGGGAUACCGGUAAUGAUGUUGCUGCUACAGUCUGAUUGCAGUAUGUAUGUUGAAGGCUCAGCAGAAUUUCAUGUUACAAAGUAUGAAAUGACGGAGAAGAUUUCUUUAAGAAAUUUCAUUGUAAUUCUUAAUUGCAGGAGUUACCUUAGAGUUUCUAGAGUUUAUGAUCCAAAGCAUUGUAUCUGUAAUGGUCCAAGUUUCUGUUUCAACCCCUAAAAAAUGAACUGGGAUCUGUUCCCCAGUGCACACAUGAGACGCGACCUGACGCCAGACGCCGUUUCAUCUGUGAUCUGAGCACGGCGCUGGCGCCGAUUGGCGGACGCCUGACGGCCGAUGCAGGCGCACUCCCUACUUGGUGCAGUAGCCCUCGCCAACGAUGUAAGUCCGCCUCAAAACAAGGUUCGCUAGCAAUUUUUCUGAUCUUUGCAGUAUAUUUUAAUAAUAAUUCUGGUUACUAGAUUAAAUUCCAUUUAAAGAUACUCCCUCUAUUUCAUAUUAAGUGACUCAAAUUUGUUUAAAUAUGAAUGUAUCUAUAUACUAAAAUAUGUCUAAACACAUGUAAUAUUUCGGUACUUAAUAUGGGACAGAGGGAGUAAAUGUUUUGGUAAAACCUUGGACAUUGGCUAGUGUUUAUGCAGUUAGUAUAAUUCAAGCUCUCAAGGCUUUAGGCAAUUUUUCAGGUACCCUUGCAAUUUAUAUUUAUUACUCCGUAAAUGCAGGUUUGGCCAUCCUACUAUGUUGACUUGAAAUUUUAACUCUACCUUUUUAUCUUGUAGGGUGUUGAACGGACGGAUUGAUGAUGUAUUUUGGAAUUUGAAAUACAAGACAACUUUUCCAAGUAAGUUAGUCCUUUGUAUCAUCAUUUUACUAAGAAAUUUUUCAUCAUUUUAGUAAGCAUUUUGAUUAUUGAUUGUUACUUCUUUUCAUUUCUAGAUUGUCUUCUUUUAUGCCUAAUGAAACAAACUAUUUUCUCCGAUCCAUAUUAAUUGUCAAAAUAUUACAUGUAUUUGAUGCUUUUUAGCAUAGAUACAUUUAUAUUUGGGAAAAUUUGAAACAUUUAAUAUGAAUUGGAGGGAAUACCAUUUAAUUUAGCGUUGCUUGAAAAUUUUGUGAAAGUGGCGCAUUGGGGUGACUUGAGCUCCAGCUCCGCCGCACAUUCGUAAAUGGUUGGAAUUUAUACACAUUAAUUACAAACAAAUUACUGCACGAUUAGUGCUUUUAAGUCCACACAUUCAUAUGUUACAUGCGUGGUAUUACAUAUACCCAGCCGUCUCUACCAUUGUAGGCCGAUCUAGAAGGUGUCCACAAAUUGCAUAUCACUAUUAUGCCUUUUGUGCUUGCAGAACUCUGCGAUGGUACUCUCCAAGAGCCCAGAUCGGAAAGAUGUUCCUGAACUGGGCGUAAGUGAGCAUGAGGUUGUGGUUGGUAGCUCCGAUGAUGUCCUGUCAUGUGAGGAAACGUACAAAUUGUAAGUUAUUCGACAG
rnacentral:lncRNA from 1 species